AUAUAUGAUUGUUAGGGAAAUUUGUAUGUUUAACUAAACCUAAAUAUCCUCACUUUAGUACAUGCACUUCGGAAUUUGAAAUGGUUUUAUAAUUUAAUAUAUAUACAUUAAACAUAAAUCAUUCAUUUAAUUUAGAUAAUGAACAAUUAAUAAAUUUUUUUUUGAAUUUGACGACCAACCGUCAGAGUGAUGAGACGUGGCUGAUGAAAAUAAAUAUUAUAUUAACUAAUAAGUUGAAUAUUCAAACUUGACUUUUGACGUUUCAGCAAUAGAUAAGAAUACAAGUGAUUACCUUUAUAUAUCAUAUGAAAGAAAAAAAUUCUCAUUUUACCGCACAAAAACUACCAUUCUCACGUUUACACGCACUGACACACGUAUUCUGAAAAAGGAGUAUCAUUUUAUUUUGCAAAGCUAUAAUUCAGAAAUUUCUUUGGAGGUAAGAAUACAUGGUGCAAGUGAUAAAUUCUUAUCCUUGAUAUUUAUCUAAAUUUGGCAUGAAAUACUAUAAGGCUUUCGGGUCAAAUUAUAUGUUAAAUUCUUUGGGAUCGACCGACAGGUCAAAGAAAAAAAGUUAAAUCCUAAAGAUGAACCUUUGGGUCAAUAUGAUUAAAUCCUACGGGAUAUGGGGAUUCUUAAGAAAUUCCUUGAGCUGUUAGAAUCGUGACCAGUUUGCUCUAAAUUUAAGACAUGUCGGUAUUUUAUGUCAUAUUGUGUUUAUAUCAUGUUAUAAGAAUAUGCACGUAUUUUUACUGAGUAUUUUCAAAAUAUUCACUCUUACAAUACUUUUCAUAUUAGAACGGGUCAUGUAGAAGAUUGACUGGUGAUGCUUAUGGGAUCAUCAAGUAAAGUUUCUAGAAAAAUAAUCGUCAAAUUCUAUUUGAAAGAAUAUCAUUAUUUUAAUUUUUAUGCAUGAUAUUUAAUAUUUUUCUUAGAGUACGAGCAUUCGACACUUUAUGUUGAAUUUUAAUUUACAGUUUGAGAUGGGGUAUUUCAAGAUCUUAUUUUAAAUCAUUAUUUUGUCGUUAUUGAAUUGUCGACCACAUUUUGAUCACUAAAAUAAAAAGUUAUGUUUCCACUUAAAUUAAAAAAAAAAAAAAAAAAAAAAAAAAAAAAAGAGCUUUGGUAGCACCUCGAGCUCAUUUUUAUUUAAAAAUAACAAUAAUAAUGAAAAAGAGUUCGGGGCGUUACAGCAUACAUAUCCUUUUUUAUGUCGAAGAAUAUCCAAAAAAGAUGUAUUGAAUGGAACGAGAAUCAAGUUUAUUGCGAUGCAAAGACUGGUGGUGCACAUAACAAACACAACCAAAUACUCAGAGGUGAGACACGUUAGGUUUUUUCCCUUUUAAGACUUCCAAUGGUGACUGAAAAUGGAUAACACGACUUGGGAGCCUAUUUAUCAAGUGAAUAUUCAUUUGAAGCAUGAGAGCUCUCGUACUCUCCAGAAUAUGUCCAUUUUUUCUUUCAACCAUUUCAUUUUGUUGGGGUGUAUUAAUAGAACUAGUCUGAUGAAUAAUGCCCUUAUCGCGAAGGAAGGCAGGAACGGAACCCUUUGCAAAUUCAGUUCCAUUGUCCGAACGGAAAACUUUGAUUUUACUAUCAAAUUGAGUGGCCACCAUGCUAUAAAAAUCCUUAAAAACAGAGUAGACUUCAUUCUUAAAUUUCAAUAAAUAAAUCCAAGUAGCACGAAAAUAAUCAUCAAUAAACAACACAAAAUAUUUAAAACCAUCAUAUGAAUCAAUUCGAUAUGAGCCCCAUAAAUCAAAAUGAAUUAACCCAAAAGGUUUAACAGACAUAGAUGACGAAUUAUUAAAUGGUAGACGAACUUGUUUGGAAAACUGACAAAUGUCACAAACAUGUGUUCCAAAAGACAUAGAUGAAAACAAAAAAUAAAAAUAAAACAUGACUAGAAGGAUGUCCAAAUCUUUGAUGCACAAUAUAAUUUUCUAGCAUAGCACUAUUAAGAGAAGUGGCACUGAAUGGUUUCAACAGAUAAAGUCCAUGUGAGUAUACACCUUCACCAAUCUUCUUCUCCAAAGUUCGAUCCUGAAAUAUAACAUCAUUAGGAGAAAAGAUAACAUUGCAAUUUAAAGAGUUAGUUACUUUUCCAAUGGAAAGAAGUUGAGUUGGAAAUGAAGGAAUCACCAGUGCAUCCGAACUAGGAAGACCAGGAAAAAAUUAAACUUUCCAGAUCCACAAACAAGAACUGAUGUACCAUUAGCAACUAAAAGAACAUGUUUAAAUAAAUUUUUUGAGAAAUCUCUCAAAGAUGCUACAUCAUUUGCCAUAUGAUCUAUAGCACCCGAAUCAAUAAUCCAAGUAUUCAAAUGUUUAGAUGUACACGAAGAGAAAUAAGCUUCAAGGUUACCGGAGACGUGAGUGCUAGAAGGAGUCGAAUCUUUUGGAGUAGAAGGACCAGGAUGACCGAGUUGUUGUAGAAUUUGGGCCAAUUGAUUUAUUGAAAUGGUAGUAUUAGCAACAGCAGCACCUUCCCUGUUUUCUCCUUUCAUAGUGGAUGGCUUAAGAUGAGGAUGAAGUUUCCAACAAUGAUCCUUAAAGUGUCCUAGCUUUUGACAGUGGUCACAUUUGGGAGCUUCUCGUCUUUUCUUGUUCUGAAAUUUUCUCUAUUUUUCAUCUCUUUUAACGGUAAGAGCAGAAGACUCGGCUAUAUUCUUUAAUUCUGAAUUCAUUGCCUUUUUUCGAGUUUCUUCUCAUUGCAUAGUUGCACACACACUCGAAAAUGAUGGAACUAUAGGACUCAUAAGGAUAUAAUUCUAAAGAUUCUCAUACUCUGGUCUCAAACUACUCAACAAAGAAAAUAUCUUAUCUUCUUCAGCCUUUUUUAGUAAGAUUUUUGCAUCGGUCGUAUGUGAACGAUACAUACUCAAUUCAUCCCACAUCUUCUUUAGAUUACCAAUGUGUUCGAUGAAUGGCUUAUCUCCUUGCUCAGCAGCAAUAAUUUCCCGUUUCAAUUCAAAUAUUCUAGCGGCAUUAUUUUAGUUUCCAUAAAGUUCCUCAACAGAUUUCAACAACUCUUCCGCCGAGUCUGAAAAAAGUGAAGAUUUUAACAAUAUGCACUUCCAUUGAAUUUAGAAGCCAAGAACGAACAAGUUGAUCAUUCGAUAUCCAUCCUUCAUAUGUUGGAUUUGUAGAAUCUGGAUAGGAAAAAGUGACAUUGAUGAAACCCAACUUUUUCUUUCCAUCAAGAGACAACUCUUGACCAUGAUAUAUAAUUUAUACCAUUCAAAGGAAUGACAGAUAACUUCCAUCCGAAAUUAACAUCAUUCUCCAUUGUUACAGAUGGAUUAAUUACUUUCUCAAUCAUUGUAAAUUGAAAAACAAAUAAUCAGAGGCCAAAAAACGCGAAACAGAAAAUUGAAAAACGUAAACAGCUGACUUUGAAGAUGAUUUUAACCCACUAAACAUUGUCAAAAAUAGCCCGGAAGAUACAAAUCCAACGGCACCGACCUUUCGUAAUUCCGAGUUACGGUUUGCAAGAUACAGCCAUUUCCGUAGAGGUCACACAAAGCUAAAAAAAAACUGUUUUCUUGGAGAUUGUGAAACGUUUCUAAAUUUUAGAACAGAUUUGGUUUGAAUAGCAAUGGACCGAAACAACAAAUCCGCUAUAUUACCAUGAAGAAUUCAAUAAACUAAAAAAGAACACAAAUGAUUACAUGCUUCAACACCAGUGUAGCAACCUACAUUUACGGGAGAAGAGAGAGCUUGUAUAUAUUCACUUAUAUUUGGAGCUUAAAAUAAAAUAUAUAUAGUCGCAUUAUAUCAAGGUUGCCUUAUUAAGAAUAAGUCAAUGAAGGAAAGAGAAUAACGAAUUAUGGAAAUCUUCCAAGACGUGAUUGUGCCAUAGUAUUCUCCAAUAUUAGUAAAUCCUUCAAAUAUCAUUAAAUAUCUCUCUUCUCCAACAUUAUUUAUACUAUGAAUAUAUUAUUGUCUUAUAAAUUAUUUUUUACUUAUAAGUAAGAAAUUUUACUUAUAAAUUAUGAUCAUUAUAAUUUACUUUAGAUAAUUGUAAGGGCCACUAUGCUAUUUUUUCAUUAAAAAUAAAGAUUUUUUCUUUUUUCUUUUCUCCCACCUGUUACAUUCCUUGUUAAUUAAAUUCAUAUGAAAACAUAGAACAGAAAAACAAAUACAUAAAAGAAAAUUCUGAUCCACCAGCUUCUUAUACCAUUUUGGUCACUGGUACUCAAUUUUGAUAAGACAGAACAUGACAAUUGAAAAAAUUCCAAGACAGGAAAAGAAACGGGUUCUGGAUUAAGAAAAAUAAUGCAUCUUUCCAACUAAUCUUACACCAUAGGUCCCUAGCAAUCUGGGCAACUCCCCUAUACAUUGAAAUUUUGUACAGGAGAUGUACAGGUGCUGAGCUAGCAUCCCUGUGUGGUUGGAAUUUUUUCUUUUCUUAUUUUUUAGCCAAUUCCCAAUAAAAUAAUGUCAAGUUUCACCCUGUAAACAAAUAUGGCAAAAUUGCAUGUAUACAUAGCAUGAUUCUAGCAAUUUCUCCUAUCUUCACAAACUUUUGAAGCCACUGUCAAACACGUCAUCAUAUUGAGCAUCCAUAUAUACGAGAAAUACAUACAAUCAACAGUUCAACACUAUUUAGAACAAUAACAGAGGAAAGUAACUUUUAACUGAUAAGGAUAACGUUUCGCCAAUAAUUACUCCAACUAAUCUUGCAUCAUUUACACCUGAUUUUGCUAUGAUUAAAAGAGACACCAAAGGUGUCAUAUUCAGAUUUUUUUUUUUUUUAUUACUUAUAAACAAAAUGGAUUUAGAAGAAUCUUGAUUUUUUUUCACUCUCAGAUGGACCUUAAAGUUGUUCCAGUGUGGCUAAUACCUCUGCCAUGCUCGGCCUGGUUUUUGGAUCAUUGCUUAAGCAGUGCAAUGCAAGGGUUGCAACAAUUAGUGCUUCUUUCUGAGGGUAUUUGCCCUCCAAUUUAGUGUCCAUAAAUCGAGACACUCUGCUCUUGUUAGACAAAUAUUCCAUCAGAUUGUGUGUUCCAUCAGUUUUGCUCAUAUCAAUAGCCCGGCGUCCAGAUAGUAAUUCCAGCAAAACAACCCCAAAACUAUAUACAUCACACUUUUCAGUCAAAUGACCUGUUCAUCCACAAGGAUUUAGUGCAACUAAAUUAAUAAUGAUGAGCAUUUUAAAGUGCAAACUAGUGGAAAAGAAGCACCCAAUUUGUUGAACCUGUAGCUAUGUACUCUGGUGCAGCAUAGCCAUUUGUACCCAUAACUCGAGUGGACAUGUGAGUCAUAUCACCAGUUUGCCUGUCUUUAGCCAAAUUGAUUCCGGACAACUUGGCAUUAAACUCCUGCAUCUCAGAGUAUGAUCCCCCAUAAUGCAAUAAGGCUAUUAGUUUCAGUAUGCAAACGAAUACAAAUACUUUAUCAUGAAGAUCAAUUCAAUAAGACAAAGCGACUAGAUUUAAUAAAACAACCUCAUCCAGAAGAAUAUGAGCAGAGUGAAAAUCUCGAUGUAUCACUUGGUUUUCAGUGUCGUGCAAGAAAGAAAGGCCUCUAGCUGCACCAACAGCCACCUUAAUUCUUGUAUCCCAAGAAAGAAACUGAUGCCCACCUGCAAAAAAAAUUCAAUAUCCAAUGUUAACCAUUGUUUGAAGAUUUAUUUGCCAAUGAGUUUCAAAGUUUUCAGAGGACUGGUACAUGAUCCUAUUAUUCACAUAUAAUCUUAGAGAUUCAAUUGAUAAUACAUUGUUAACUGUGGAGUAAAUUGUGGUAAAGAGUGAACCAAUUGGGUUCCUGGAAGAAACUGAAAAUUGCAUAUAUCAGGUACAGUAAGGUAAUACUUUCAUGUACUCUUACAUAUUUAAAGUAAUUAAUAUGACAAUGGAGACAUAUUUAACAUUUGUUCAAUGGAUGGACAGAAACGUUGAAAAGCCUAUACCAUCAAAAUAGAAGUUUUCUCAGUGCUACCUACUUUGGUACAAGUGAUUGUCUAGGCUUCCUUUCAGCAUGAACUCAUACACCAACAGAAAGUUGUCAACAUCAUGGCAGUGCCCAAUAAGUUUAAUCAAGUUUGGAUGAUGAAGUCGUGACAGAUAAUUCACUUCCGUCUGAAAAAUAUUAGGUUGUUAAUAAAACACCCUGUGAAAAGAGUUUUGCAUAAUUAAGCCAUAAGACAUACUACAACAACAUCAAGAACCUACCAACCAUUCGUUGAACCCAAACACACUAUGGGGAUUCCACUUCUUGACAGCAAUGGCCAUUCCAUAUCCUGGCCUUGCAGCUGUAAGAGUGUGCUCGUUGAUCCAUCCCUUAUAAACAGAACCAAAUGCUCCUUCCCCUAAAAGUCUGUCAGAUCGAAACUCUUUGGUCGCCUUCUUUAACUCUAUGAAAGAAAUGGACUUAGCAUUAGGUGGCAGCAAUAUCUCUUCCGUAGAUAUUGGAGUAGGAAGGCUUUCAACAGUGCUUUCUCUACUAUAAAACGGAAUGCUUGGGCUGGAAGAAGCUGAAGAGUUAUUGAAUUACUGAGAAUUCUUGAAGCUUGGGAAAUUUUACAGAAUGGGUGGAAAAAAUACAAUAAUUGUAGCAGAUAAUUUUGCAAAUUUAUAAUCGAAAACAUAAACAUGAAUCUAUGAGUUUCACUUGCAUAAACAAUAAACAAUAAGAAUUUACUACUUCUCUACAUGUACAUAUUUGCAACAGUAAGAAGUACUCUACAUGUACAUAUUUGCGACCGUAAUAAUUAUACUAUGUAACUAGUAAAAGUUUUUAUCAGCUCUCAAAGAAACAAGGAGUCCCAAAAUUCCCUUGGUUUCAAGAUGUACAAUCUGUGUUGAAUCUCAUAAAAAAUUAGCAUUAAGACAAACCCACAUAAAAAGAAAAAUUGUACGCAAGCUGUAGAAGCCAAACUUCGUAUCUUCCAUCUAUCCAAGUAAACAGGAAGCAUAGCAAUUCUUUAAAAAAAUUGGGGACAAUGGAAUAGUACAUAUUGUAAUUCAAAGAUAUAAAAGGAAGUUGCAAUCUUUAACGAAAUAAUCAGAGAAUGUAUACCUAUGCAAUGUCCGUGACUACGUUAACCACCAUUUUUUCAUUUCCCCUUUAAAAUCUCAGGCAUAAAACAUUGAAGGAUUUUACUCCCAAAGGGUUUUCAGAUUUCUUCAUUUGAGUGAGAAUUUAUUCCCCUUUUCUGUAAAUUUCAAUUUUGGGUUCUUUUCUUGAUUCUAGUUUAUUAGGUUUUCUUUUUCUUUUCUUUUUUUAAAAAUUAUUUACGUAUUAUUAUUAUUAUUUUUUUUAUGUAGGCUUUGUUUUCAAUUUCGUGAUUCUGGGUAAGAAUUUGUUUAGAUCUACUCCACAUUUCAUUUCUUGGUUAUAUUUUGUAGAUAGUAUAGCCUCAAAUUAAGACUUGUUUCACUAUAACAAAAUAGCAUAGGAGAUGCAUACCUUCGAGAUCAAGACCCCAAAAAUUGUUAAUGGCCGGAUCAUGAAAAGGAGAAUUGCAACUGAAUCUAGAACUAAAAUCCGAUGAAACAGAGCUGAGACUGGGGGCACGAGCAAGUUCCCGAAGCUUCUCUUUCCGCAAUGUUGCUUCAACCAGUCUCUCCCAAUUGUCGUAGAUUCUACCCAUUGCUAACUUCCUCUAUUAAGAUUGUGUUGUCAAAAUAAAGUUUACGACAACCGUAAGGUAUUUUAUGAAAUCUAAGGUCUCAUAAUGCUGUCAUGAAAGGCCUGAUGAAGCAGGGGAGAAAAUGCAAGGAAAUUGCUCCGUCAGAGCCUUUUAAGUAAUUAAACACGAUAUCUUAUUUUACUGGCCUAAAAGUUGAUAAGGUCUCGUAAUGCCGACAUGAAAAUCCUAAUGAAGCAGGGGAGAAAAUUCAAGGAAGUUGCUGCUUCAGUGCCUUUUAAAAUAAGUGGAAAUUACAUUAAAUUCCUUUUUUAUAAGAUACUAGCCCAGUACAUUGAAGUCCUGGAGCAAGCAGAGCCUUUUUUUCUCCCUUUUCCUAUGCGUCAAGUUUGAAUCUUGAGUAAUAACACAAAAGGAAUAAAGUUGAGUCCUAAAUGACGCUACCUCAAACUUUUACCUCAACAGUAAUCAUGAAACUUCUCUAUGGGGUGAAAGGAAAUAAGGUAACCAAUAAUUUCCUACCUAUUGACCCAAGACAGGAGAAGAGUUAGAUUCAGGAUGAAGAAAAGAGAUGCAUCAUUCAAAUGAACAAUGGUAAGCACCUCAAGGAAAUUAACCCACUGGCCAAUGCAGAGAACUGGAAGACAGAAAUUCAUUUCAUAGAAAGAUACUUGCAGAAAUUAAAAUUCUAGUGUUCCAUUACAAAAGUUCGGCUGAAAACAAGUAAUUGUUGAAGUUAUUUCUUCAAUAAAGGUAUUGGUAUAAUUGUCUCUGGUAAUCUCCCCAAGUUUUGUCAACGAACGAGAUUACAAUUGCUUUGUUACAUCAGCUUUGAUGUGAGAUUUUACCCUCCUAGAUUUCGAUAUUCUUACAAUAGAGUCCUGGAUCUGGAGCUUCCUGUCCUCCUCCACCCUCUGUCUUGUUUGUAAAUAUUUCAGACUCAGAUUUAUGCACGACGACCCCACUGCCACUUCUUAACUCUACACUGUAGGCUGCAUAAAGCGCCCGAAUUGCAUCCUCGGAGAUCUUAAUGUCUGUAAACAUCCCUCUAAUUCAGUCUUCAGUUUAACAGUCAGACUUCUCUUAGCAUUUUCAAAAACUUUUUUUCCUGACGAGAGCCGCUUUGCCAAAUGUUGUUUAUAGUGUUUCUCAAAUCUGUCUUUCUCCUGAAGGAAAUGUAACAACAUUAUCACUUUGUCAAGAAUUAUCUCAACAUCGUCCUCUUUCACUCCUUCAAAUCCUUUGCACGGUUUAUGAUCAACAAACAAUGAUACACUCAGGCAAACGAGGAUUCAAAUUGAUGAAAUAUUCAAAAGAAGAGUUCAAUGCAUUCUGGAAGAUAUCGUCUAUUGUUGAAUGCAGAUCUUAUGAUUGUAUCGUACUUAUUCCUUUUCUCAAGUAAGGAGUCAACAAAUUCCACAGGGUUCUUCAAUUUCUCAGGAUCAGUAAUAAGUUGUUCACCAGUAUUUCUGAUGUGAGAUGUCAUUACAUCUCGGAUUGUAGAAAGACCAUUAGGAACCCUGCCAAAUAAGCUAUACAUUCUUCCCAAAUCUUCAUUUUUUUCAUCAAGAAUCAUCUUUACUAAGCCUGAGUUCUUCAUGUGUAGUCUAAGCAUGUGAUUGGAAAUCAUCUCCUUCUCUACAACAUUUGUUAUCUUGGCUUCGCUCGUUGAGUCCAAGUAGUUUGAUACUCUCUUUACUUCUUCGUCCAGGCGUGUUUCAGCUUUCUUCAGAUAGUCCCCACAUUCACUGCACUCGAUAUAUUCCUCAGACUAUGCCCCAUAAAAAUCAGCUGAGACUUUUAAGAAAAGAUACCUCAUAGUCUUCUUGGUACACUGAAGGUCCUAAAUCUAUUAGCAUUUUAAUUGUAUUUCUCACCAGCUCGUGAAUGGGGGUUCUGUCUCGGAAUGAAAGUCCUAUCCAUAUGUGAUAUAGGCCAAUAUGUUACGGAUCGUUGUAAGUGCUCUAUUAUGAAUAGCCCAUUUCGUAUUAUGAACCAUCAUGGGCAGCUUCUAUACAUCUACACAUCUCUUGGAGGUGGAAUGUCGGUGUUGACACAAGUCCAGAAUAAAGUCUCUCCAUAUCCACUUAACACCAUAUUGAAAGCAUUUCUGAAUCCAUGGAAAAAAAUUCACAUCAGAGCUUAAAAAUAAUUUGUAAUACACGUGUUACCUCAUAUCAAGGUUUGGAAUUCAGAUUAAAAAAUACAUAUACAUACAUACAUACAUACAUACAUACAUACAUACACACACAUAUAUAUAUAUAUAUGUAUAUAUAUGUGUAUAUAUAUAUAUGUAUAUAUAUGUAUAUAUAUAUAUAUUACCUGUAGAGUUCUUCGAAGAUGAGGUCACUAUAAUCGCAGUUGUAAAUCGUGUGAAAGGCAUGAUCCAGAAUUUUCCAAGCCUCAUCGGCAUACUUCAUAUCCAUCACCACUUCUUUAAAAAUUCUAUUGGAGAAUUCCUCUUCAUCACAGACACUGUUGUUCCAGACCUUGGCUUCGAAGCAGUGAGAAUGUGAGUAGGAACACUCUCAAUACUGGAUUGCUAAGCCGAGCACACAAAACAAUGAAGGAGAGGAUGAGAAUUGAGAAAACAUUCAGCAAGGGGGUUGACAAACCCGAUACAAAAAGGAUAUAUGUGUGUCUGUGUGUAAAUAAGAAAAUUGAUACAAAAUUACAUCAAGUAAUUAGUAUCCCAGUUCAAAAUUAAAAAGAAAUGAGAAGCUUUAAGACAAAGUUCGCACCUUGAAUCAAUCCAAGCAAACAUGCAAUCUGGAAAAAGAGAAUAAAGACAUGGGAUAACUUGAUCAUCCCAAAAAAAUAUAUAGAGUAAAUUGCUUACCGCUUUUGCAUAUGGUUUUUGGUAAGCUCAAGUGUAUAAUAAGCUCAAAAACAAUAAAUAAAAGAAAGAACAACAAAACAUGGCUUGAGUGAGAAUCUGAGACUUACCGAAAGAGAAGAUAGAAAGAGACAAUUCAGUAGAAUUUAGCAGACUAACAGGCAAAUGCAACUAGUGAUUUGUUCAGCAGUGCCAGACAAGCGUUAAAUGUUAGGGAAUAAGAGUUUACGUUAGGGUUUCUUAAACUUUGGACAUGAUUUGCUAUCAUAGUUUUGUUGAAUUAUGAUUUGAAUUGUUGAAAAUAUAUGUUUUUUUUUUUUUUUCAUUUCAUACGAUUUUGAAAUAAUUUUAGUUUAGUUUAGAUAUCAAGUGAGAACAUGUAUUGUGAACUUGUUAAACCAUAGGCCAAUAAUGAUGAAACUAAUUUACUUUCUAUGAUUAUUUCAAUAGGAUGGUUGUAACUUGUAUUGCAAAAUUGGUUUUUUUCUGAAAAGCGAAAACUGUGAAAUUUUUAAGUUAACAAAAUUAAUGUUUUACUUAAAAAAAAUUUAAACGGUUCGGUUUGGUUUUGUACGAUUUUUGAAAAUCUAAAUCUAAAUCAAACCAUUUUGAAACGGUUUAGUUCGGUUUGAGGGAAAAUAAAAUUACAGGUCCACGUGAACCCAAACCAACAGUUUCAACUCAACGGUUUCAAUUUGGUAAGGAAAAUCAAUUCAUUAUUCAAAGCAGGAAAAUACAAACUUCAAACGCUCGCCUAGUCUCACGCAAUACAAAGUUAGAACACAUUAUUGCACGGGUCUAAUUUUUCUUUCCCUCCCUACAAAUUUCUCUCUCUAUCGUUGCUACCGGUGCCAGAAUUGCUUUCUUUCUCUAAGUGUAUGAAUUGGCUCUCACGCACACACAUCUGGCUACCUGAAGAUCCCUCUCACAUAAUUUUCUCUCUGUACGUGUCUGAACAUAAUUUCGGGUUUUCGCAGGUAAUUUUUCUCAACAGGGUUGACCAAUGUUAAUCCGAUAAUCAAGUUGCUUGGAUAUUUAUAAUGUGAGAUAAUUUGAGGUUUAUAUUUUCAUAUAUGGAACAAGAUGGUUUAUGGGUAAAUACAAAAAUAGUAAGAGAAUAAGUUCUCAACUGGUGCACUUCAUCACUGUUCAAUCCCUAAAUUUUUAGCAUAGACGGUGUUCAGCUAGCUAGGGUUGUGAGAUGCAAACCAACCUUUGUGAGUAAUGAUAUUUUAAAGUUUUUCGGUCGAUCUAAUUUAUAUUUUUAUAACACAAAUUCUCUAUUUCUACGACCUCCAAUUUACCAUUAGCCUUUGUUGAGCUUCCUUACUGGUUUGUGUAAUACAUUAAUUUUUUUUUUUUUUAAAAAGAAAAAAAAAAAGAAAAAUCAAACAAAAAAAUAAAAUAAAAUAAAAUAUAGUAUAAUGAGGCGGUGGAAUUGGAUUGAUAUCAAUCCAAUUCCACCCAAACCAAAUUAAUAACACACAACACACACACAAAAAAAAAGGGUACAAAGAAGAAGAAGAGAGAAAAAGAGAAAGGAAAAAGAGGGAAAAAAAUGGAAAAGAAGAGGGGAAAAAAAACGGAAAACUCGUCAACGUGUUAGAAAUUAAGUGAGUUAUACUAUUAGAUUUGAAUUUCUCAAUUUUGAAAGGUAAGUAAAAGUUACUUAUUGAAAGAUUAUGUUUGAUUUUAUAGUUGUUAGGUUGUUAGAUUAAAUUCAAUUUUAUUGAAGGGGUUAAGUAUAAUAAACUAUGAAAUUGAGUAAAAUGAAAGAAAAAUUAGUUUUAGUAAUUAAAGAGAUUUUAGAAAUCGCCUAAACGUGAAAUAAUUAAGUUUGGGUAUAGCCUAUUUAAUUAAUGAAAUUUCUUAAAAUAGUUAAUUAUUGAUUUAAAAAUGAUAUCAUAUUUCAGGCGGCGAUACGGAUAUCGGAAGAGCGUACCAAUCGAGUUGAUUUUGGCCUACAUAGUUCUGUGAGUGGAAAAAUAUAAAUAUUUUUAAAAUAUUUAUAAAUUAAGUAUAUUGUCAAAGUAUGUGCAAUUAUAUGUUCGAAUUAUAUCCUUAUUAUGGAAAUCUCUUUUAUUAUAAUACAUGUGAAAUAUCAAAGAUUAUUUAUGGCAUAUUUGUGACUUGCUAUGUAAGCCAUGUGAUAUUAAGAUUUGUUUGGUAUGUGAGACAUGCGAUAUUGAGAUCGGCCAGAAAAGUGCCCAUAAUUAUAUACUUUUUCUAGUUCACAGAGGGGCCUUGGCCAUGGUCUAUCCAAUACGGAGGGUCUUAACCUGAUAUUGGUCUUGAUCGUGUACAUAUAGUUCACAGAGAGGUCUUGACCGUGUUCUAGAAUUGAUCAUGAGAGGUCUUUAAGACCGACUUUCGUUUACGGAGGGGCCAAAGGCCCGUGGCAAAAGUUCUUAGCUCGAGGGGUGAAUUAAUAUUUCAGUCAGAGGGUACAUUUUUGGUGGAUUUUCAGCACGUUUGAUGUGAUGAGAUUAUAGCAUGAUUAUGAGCUGAUAUUAUAUCAUGAUUGUAAGAUGAUAUUUUUAUGACUUUAUGUGAAUAUUUCACUUUUUGGCUAUAAAGCUUGUGAAUUAUGAAAUGAUAUGAAGUUGAUUUUCAAUAAAAAUGUAUAAAUGGAAAAGGUACAUUUAUUUUGAAUUUCUCCACUCACUGAGCUAUCAAUUCAUACAUUUUUUCACGUUUUUCCGUAUCAGGCAACAGUUGAGAAUCUGGGCAUCUUUUAGAGUUGAGCCUUGAUUUUGGAGUCAGAGCCACACGACAGAGUUUGUUAGUAUGACUCACUUCAUAGAAUAUGUAGUCAGUAUUUUGGGACGCAUGUUCAUGACUAGAUGUGAUUUUGCAUCACUUGUAGAUAGUUAUGAAGUUCACUAUGUAUUAUGUAUCCAUAUGUAUAUUUCAUUUUAUUUCUUGGUAAAAUUGGAAAUUUCGGCUUAUCUUUAUUGUGUUGUGCUAUAAUUUGGGAUUUAUGUGAAAUUGAUCACAAGUUGGUUAGUCCUGUUUACAGGGGAGAUAAUGUCGAAAUUUUGUUAGAAAAAUGAUGUAUAAAAAGUGAUAUAUUGUAUUUGUAGUAGUAUUGAUGGUGGGUCCGACUUUUAGUUGGUAUCUAUUAUCGGCGCAUGCCACGUUCGGAUCUACUGGUGUUACACGGGACGGGGUGUGUCAGUUUGAAUGUCCUAUUUCAAGUGUUCAGCCAGGUUUAUCACUUUGUGCUGAACACUCACGUUUAACAUGUGAAGAAACCAAGAGAUAACAUAGACAUUAAGCUCUACUCAUUUAAAAUCAUUAGUAACAUUUUUGAGAAAUAAUAGUGGACCUUAAGAAAUGUGUACUAGUUAUUAAUGUUCUACCAUUUUGGAACCAUAAGGUACACUAAAGAGAAGAAGAUGCUAUGGCUUACCGUGACUAAAGUAAAUGUUUGACUUUGUCUGAAUAUAAUAAGUAAAUUUUUAGAAAAUACGAACACAAACUUAAUAAAUGUAAAUAAAGGGGGAAGUUACCAUGAGAAUCCAAUCAUUCAACAAUCUAUAGCACGUAGCAAUACUUAAAAAUACGGUGAUUUUCCAUCAUAAAUUCCAAUAAUUUCUCUAGUUCAUACCAAGUAACAUCACGAGUUCCCCCAAACACUUCAGUACUAGGUAUUGUUCUUCAAAGAGAACACUUGCAAUGAAGUGAUUGAAGGGAACUCAAGGUGAAACCUGAUGCAUUGUACUAACUCAGAUAUAUAUUUCUUUCACUUUAUAAUAUAAUAUAUAAUAUCAAAUGAUAAUGUGUUUGUGGGUAUAUGUAUAGAUCAAGCUUAGUAUAUGUCGUAAGAACUGAGUUUUGGUCACUAUUUAUGGAGGAAGAAAACUCGAAGACGAAAGUACGUAGUAGCCCCCGAACCUAGUCGCAACUGUGGGAUAAAUGAAGAAAUCACAAGUUUGGAGUGUGGAUUCUCCAUUAAAAGAGAGCUGAAAAAGUGGUGGGCGAAAAGAUGCAUGUGUAGGCUAUACUCACUUUUUCUGUACCUUCCCUUUUUUGUCAUUUAACCUGCAUUCUAAAUUAGGUUUAUAUACUCAAAAAUUAUAUAGCAUGUAUAUUUAACCAACAAAAUUUUCAAUUACAAUUUUAAUUUGCCACGUAAAUUAUUUAAGAAAUUAGUUAUUCUAUCUCCCUUUGUCCCUUGAAAUAGUCAAGUGAAAUUGUGUACAUAAUUUAUUAAAAGGUCACGAUUUUAUUAUCACAAGGCAGAUUUGAAGCUACAAGGACAAACUUUAGUUCAGUCAACACAAGUUGAACGUCGACAUGGAUAUGUACUUUUCAUCAAUAGAUGUGAGGUUUUUUUAUCAACUAAUGAUCUCCGGUUUCAUGGACAACACAUCAUAUUAUGUUGGUUUCGAAUUAUAAAAAUAAUUAUCAUUAGAAUUUUAAACCGAAUCACAUCAUAAUCAUUAUAUUGUAACAAGUAAUCGGUGUAAAGAGUCAAAUAAAUAUCAAGAAAAUAAAACUUGAUGCUGAAAGUUGAAAAGUGCUCUCAGAAUAUAUGGAUAAAUACUGAGAAAUACUACAAUUCUUUUCUAACUUGAACCUGGUCUGUAUUUUGUGUCACAUAAGAAAUGAAGCAUAAUUCCUAGCAAGUCGAUGGUUAGAUAUCCUUUGGUUAAGAAAGGAUCAUUUAUUCUUAGUAAAUGCUCCCUUACUUAUGAUCUAAUAAUUGGAUAAUUAAGCGCACGUUGACUGGUUAAUAGACAGGCAUUACACUUCAACAAUUAAUUUCAAAAUUAAUUAGAGUAACAAUGACAUCAAAAUAUAAUAUAAAUCAAUAAAGCACUAAUUUAAGAUAUGUUUACAUGCAACUAGAUACAAGACAAGCAGAUGCAGCCAUUUAUUGAUGGGGAACAGGAAAUAUAUAGCUUAAUUAGUAACUUAGUUCGGUGAUUAUUGGACGAUGGGUUGAACUGUUAGUCGGGCUCAAACUCAUAAUCCGGAUUAAGUGAUGGUCAAUGAUUCAAUGCUGGCUUUUCGACGAAUAUCAGAAAUCUCGCCAUCCGGGAGAAAGCUGUUUCCAAUAGAGGAGAUGAUAUGGGAUGACCACACAGUAUUUAUCAAGAUUCUCAUUUUUCAAUAUUGCCCACAUUCCCGUCCAGGUUCAUCGCCUGAGGGCUUUUGUCUCUAUUAUCAUUUCUUGACCUAAUUUGAUAUCGAAUCCUUACCUGCUAUCCUAAUGUCCUGGAUGGUUUUACGAACCCUAUUGUACACCUAUGAACCGACGAAGUGCAAAGAGACCUCCAUUAGUCUGAGUGCAUUAUAAAUAUCACUGGUGAAUGGCAAUAGCUUAACGUGUAGCAAUGUCAAUUAACAUCAGGUGUACCCUAGAGUUCCCCUGACCGCUUCAUGGGGAUCCUUGGCUACUGGAUAAAAUGCAGCCAUUUAGCCUUCUGAAGUGUUUGGGGGAACUCUACAAUUUUCUUUUCUGUGGAGGCAUCUUGGAAAUGUCUUGACAACACAGUUUGCUUAGUUCGGCCAUCAAAUUAAUGCUUCGUGAAAAAGGUAAUAAAAAUAUAUCUUCCUUUAUUUAAGCCUGUUUAAUACUUACAAUUUAGCUACAACUAUUUUUAUGUAUGUGUUGAUUCAUAUGUAUACAUGUUUGUACUUGAAUAUUGGACUGUCGUGGAAAUAUUUUACACCUGAAUCAAGCGCCAAUGACAUAAAUUCGGACAUCUAUAAGUAAUUAAAAAAAAUAAAAAAAAAUUCAUUCUUAAAUCCAAAUCGACUCAAUAACAAUAAAUAUGAAAAAUUGCUCAUCUAAGAAAUUUAAUGAAGACCUAGUCGUACAUGGUAAUGAACUGUGUCGACCAGUUUUACUUUACAAUUCUGAUUCUCCUAGGUCAUUCUUUCGAGGUUAGUAUUAUUAUUGUUGUUAUUAUUAUUAUUAUUAAAGAAAAUAUUGCAUUUGAAUACUUCCAUGUAAACAAGAAAAAGGUACUGCCUAUUUAUGAACAUCAAUAGAUUCAAACAAGAAACCAACAGAAGCAGGAGCCAGGAGUAUUCAACCAACAAUUAUUACUGUAAUCAAAUUACAUCAAUGACAUGAACCUCAAAUUUCUAUUUCUACAUAGAAGAUAUUAAGAUAUAGUGAUAUAUUUAGUGAAACCUAGGAUUUUAAUCAUCAAGAGAUUAUCAUAUCCGUCCAACACAGGUCAAUCGUUCACGCAUUUCCUCUGAAUUCCAACCUCAACCAUGAUUGGAUUGUUACGUAUAUUGGGGUUGAAAAUCCCAACAAACUAGUAUCAGAGCCUCGUAAGGCGUGGAUAAGGUGUCUGUGAAUUCGAUUAAGUUUUUUGUCAUAUUGAUGUGUUUCUUGAUCUGUGCAAUUCAAUAAUUUGAAUUGAACGGAGUUCCUAUAAGCUAGGGUUUGAUGUUCUAGCCCUAUAAUAGGCAUCGGAGGUCAAAUUAAUACUGUUAAUACAUAGUACUUUGGUGGGACUGUUCCAAUUACAGUUCCGGUAUUUGAUUUGCAUGUAAAUAGCAUAUGUGAAUCUGUGAAUAUGAUUUCAUUUAUUCAAGAAUUGAAUAAAUUGUUUAAUUGGAAUAGGAACACGUUUAGGGUUUUGGUUUUUUGCGUUGAUUGAUUCGUACCAUCUGUGGGGAAAAAAUCUCAAAUCGAUUAUUCUUGUUGCUGUUAGAGUCUGUGCAUAUCAUAUUAUUGUUCUUUUUUCAUUUUGUGAUCAGCUUACUUGUCAUUGAUUGCAAAACUUGUUUUCAAAAACUUUUUCUGCAACUUAAGUGAUUUCUCAUAUUACAAUCACUUAUGUCUAUGAGUAACGCCACCCUUUUACAGAACGUGCAAUGGGUUCGAAAGUCGAAUUGUCACAAUUCGAUGGAAAGGGAAAUUUCUUCAUUUGGAAGCAGAAAAUGAGACUAUUGGUCCAACAAAGGGUUGCUAAAAUCCUAGAUGAUCCUAAAUUUUUUUCACUGAAUUGAAAGCUAAGCCUAAUGAAAUUCUAAAGAUGAAUGAAAUGACAUACAGUUCUAUAAUAUUGCACUUAUCUGAUAACAUAGUAAGACAAGUAUGAAGAUCAUAAAACUCCUAGAGCCUUAUGGAUUGCACUAGAUGCCUUGUUUCUGACUAAGACGUUGCCUAAUAAUAUUUACCUUUUAGAGAAACUAUUUAGUUUCAAAAUGGACACGGAGAAGGACUUGGAAACUAAUUUGAGUGAAUUUAACAUCCUCAUUAAGAGCCUUGCUCAUAAUGAUAAAAAACUUGAUGAUGAGGACCUUGCAGUGCUCCUUCUUAAUUCACCACCCGAUUCCUAUAAGGAUAUUAAGAAUGCAAUAAAAUACUCAAGAGAUGACCUAACACAAACCAUUGUCACUAAUGCUUUACAAUAUCAAGAAUUGGAGGUUAAGAGAGAAUCUAAAACAAGUUCAAGAGAGGAAAGUAUAUUUGUAAGAGGAAGAUUUGAGAAAAAAGAAAAUAAUUUCAACAACAGAAAGUCUAAAUCAAGAGAUAAAAUCAAUAAAAAAUGUUGCCAUUGUGGGAAGUUAGGCCACUUUAAACAAGAUUGCUUUGAAUGGAAGAAAAAAUUAAAGGAUCAAAAUAAUGGAGAAUUAAAUAAUUCUGUCGUCUUCUGAAUUAGACAGUUUCCUUGUGAUGAUUGUGUCUAAUGAAAAAGUUGAUAAGGACUGGAUCUUAGAUUCGUGGUGUACAUUCCACAUGUGUCCUAAUAAAUCUUGGUUUAAUAACUACAAAGAUAUUAAACCUAGGGAAGUCUAUAUGGGUGAUAAUAGCACUCAAAGUGUCCUUAGUAUUAGUGACGUCUCCAUCAGGAUGUAUAAUGGCAUUAUCAGGCAAUUGAAAAUGUUAGACAUGUACCAAACCUGAAAAGAAACCUCAUCUUAUUCGGAAUUCUUGAAGAUGAUGGAUAUUCUUUCAAGUUUGAAAAUAAUUUUUUGAAAGUUAUGAAGGGAUCUUUGGUAAUCGUAAAGGGCCAAAAAGAAAUGGAUUGUACUAUCUUAUAGGAGGGACGUUGCUCUUCAAGAUGCUAAAUCUUUGACCAUAACUGAAAACAAAUCUGAAUUGUGGCACAAAAGAAUGGGACACAUAGGAAAUAAGGGUUCGAAGUAUCUAAGUAACCAAAAAUUACUAGGGAAAGAUAUGAUCGAGCCUCUUGAAUUUUGGAAAACAUGUGUGUUGGGCAAGUCACAUAGGGUGAGCUUCGAAGUAGGAUCCUAUACCACCUUUAGGCCCCUAGACUAUGUCCACUUAGAUUUAUAGAGGUCGAAAAGUCACCGUACUUUUGGAGGGAAUAAGUACUUCCUUUCUAUAGUUGAUGAUUACUCUAGGAAGGUUUGGACUUAUCCAUUGAAAUCUAAAUCUAAGACAUUUCAAAAAUUUUGAACUUGGUUAAAGAUGGUGGAAAAUCAACUUGAUAAGAAGUUAAAAGCUCUAAGAACUGAUAAUGGAUUAGAAUUCUAUAAUGCUGAGUCUGAUAACUUCUGUAAACAAAAGAAAAUUGUAAGACACAGAACUGUCAAGCACACAUCUCAACAAAAUGGGGUUGCUGAAAGAAUAAAUAGAACUCUAAUGAACAAAGUUAGAUGUAUGCUAAUCAGUUCUAGAUUAGCUAAAGGUUUUUUAGCCAAAGCUAUGACUACAACUGCUUAUCUCAUAAAUCAGUCCCUAUCUAGUUCUAUUAGAUUUAAAGCUCCGCAGGAACUAUGGACUGGAAAGCCUCCAAACCUUUCUCACAUUAGAGUGUUUGGAUGUGCAGCAUAUGCACAUCAAGUUAAGGGAAAGUUGGAGCCUAGAACUACUAAAUGUGUUAUCCUUGGGGUACCCAAAAGGUCUGAAAGGGUACAUAUUGUGGGUGUUAGGUGUACAAGGCAUCAAAAUCAUUCAUGGUAAAAAUGUGAUUUUUAAUGAAUUUGAAAUACCAUAUAUAAAGAAUAAAAUUGAUGAUCCGAAAGAAAAAACUAAAGAUACUACUUCCCGGAGUAAGGUGAAAAUAGCAAGGCUAAACCCCAGUCAACAAGAGAAUAAUGUGAGCUAAGGAUUACCCAAAAGGUCUGAAAGGGUACAUAUUGUGGGUGUUAGGUGUACAAGGCAUCAAAAUCAUUCAUGGUAAAAAUGUGAUUUUUAAUGAAUUUGAAAUACCAUAUAGAAAGAAUAAAAUUGAUGAUCCGAAAGAACAAACUAAAGAUACUACUUCCCGGAGUAAGGUGAAAAUAGCAAGGCUAAACCCCAGUCAACAAGAGAAUAAUGUGAGCUAAGGAUUGUAGACACCUUUUCAAAUCACCAAGAGGAAUUUUAGUGGCCUGUUUAGACUCCUUAUAGCCAAGACAUCAGCAUGUUUAAACAGUAUCAGAUGCACAUUUGAUGCAUUGAAACAUUCAGCUCAUACUUUUGUCCAUUUCCAAAUGCAGCUUUCAGAUCAACUGUGCCUAUAUUCAUCUGCCAAGACAAUCUCCGACUUCUAUGUUUCCUAAUAUAAUAUGAUCAGAACAUACAUAAAGAGCUGUCAAUUUAGCUGGUAGUGUGCAAGUGAUUAUAGGUUGUGUUGGCCAAGAACAAGCUAUUAAAACCUGCAUGACCAACAUUUCCUAACUUGGCACCAUAGGCUGUAUAAUACCUCUCAUUACGUCCUCAGAAGUUUUCAUAUCUAUAAACAUGACCUCUAUUUUCGAAUAAAUUGACCACCACAUUCAGUCUUCAGUUUAACAAUCUUAGUUGCAUCGCUCCCUGGGGCAUAACCCAGUGGUGUAAAGGAUAGGAGUGAGAUAGUCUCAACCUUGUUGGCCGCCACAGUGUGAGAGUUCGAUUUCUGAGACAUGGAAUUAGACUCUUUGUGGGCACCAGUGUACGGGCAAACUCUUGUUCUCUGGCCUACUAGGGCACAUCCUGCGAUUUAUCUCGCUCACGAUAUUCCAGGGGUGGGGCGGUGGGGGCCCUCAAAGUUGGAGUUCAAACUUUUUUUUUUUCAACAAUCUUAGUUACGUCAAAUAUUACUUUUCAUGACGAGUCGCUCUACCAAAUGUUGUUUGUAGUUAGGCUUGGGCAUGGUUUAGAUAGGGUUGGUUUUGAGUGCAACCCGAAAUCGAAACUAUCUUGAUCAGUUUGGAUAAAUUCCAACCCAAACCCAUCCAAUCCAGUCGUUGAAACUGAACCAAGCCAAACUAAAUCUAUUUAGGUCGGUUUGGUUUGGUUAAUCGGUUUGAAAUUUGUGCGAGUAAAAAAAAUUGUCUAUCUACAUUUGGUUAAAAAAAUUUAUACGUAUAAUUUUUUUUCUUGCGUAAUGCAUAUCAACAUUAUAUAUAACGUAAAUGGUAAAGAAUCAAUUUUUUCCAAAAUCAUCAUAUAUAUAAAUUCGAUGGUUAUCAAGAAAUAAUUACACCAAAAUGAAAGCAAGGCUGCAAUCUAAAUUUGAAGUUUACAUCAAACACUUCUUUUUCUUGCUUCCUUUUCUUUUGAUAUUUAGAAUUUUAAUAGAAAAAAUAUAGACGGAAAACAAAUUAUUUGAGACAAAAUUAUAUUUGUGUUUUUAUUAUUAUAUUUUUUACAUUUAAAAAGAUGAAUUUUAAAAUACAAAAAUAUAAGAAAAUGUAUUUACGGGUUGGGUUGGUUAAUUAAUGGGUUUGUUGCUUAAACCGAGACGAGUCGGUUUGGUUUGAUCGGUUUCUUCAGUUUGGUUUGAUCGGUUCAAAAUAACCCAAAUCAACACGAGUCGAUUUGGUUUCAUCGAUUUCGUCGGUUUUUCGAUUUUUUUUGCUCAUCUCCAUUUGUAGUAAUUCUCAUAUAAAGCCCCGUUUGGGAGUGAUUUUUCACCUUAAAAAUUUGAUUUUUUUAUCGUUAUUUCACUAUUUCAGCCGUAAUUUUUGACUUCUUCUCUCACAGAUGGCUCCCACUUUUCUCCUAACGGUUAAAAAAUCAAUUCUUAAAAUUUCUACCGAACAGGCCCUAAGUCUUUCUCCCGAAGGUAACGGAAAAACAUCAUCACUUUGUUAAGACAAUAUCACCUUGUUUGACUUGUCUCGGUCCAUUGUAUAGAUUGUCAUAAAUGAAUAAUGAUAUGCACUCUGGGGAAUGACGAUUCAAAUUGAUGAAAUUUUUAAAAGAAGAGUUCAACGCAUUCUGAAAGGUCUUGUCAUUGUUGAAUGCAAAGCUUAUGAUCUUAUCAUACUUAUCCCAUUUCUGAAGAAGGGAGUCAAUGAAUUCAAUGGGAUUCUUCAACUUUUCAGGAUGAAUAACAAGUUGUUCGCCAGUAUUUCUAAUGUGAGUCAUCAUUGCAUCUCGAAUAGUUAGUGACAAUUAGGAAUCCGGUAGAAUAAGCUAUACAUUCUUCCCAAGUCUUCAAAUUUAUCAUCAAGAAGCAUCUUUACCAAGCUUGAGUUCUCCAUGUGAAGUAAUUUCUAAACAUGUGAUUAAUUGGCAGUCAGCUCUCUCUACAACAUUAGUAAUCUUGGCUUUAGGGGUGUACUUAAUUGGGACUUUUGAAGGUGUCAUGUACUUUUUUUAAGUGGUGACUUUUGUGAAUUUCGUGAAUUUUUUGUAGAUUUGUAUGGAAUUAGUAAAAAUCUUUCAUAGACUUUCAUUUUAAAAUUUUUAUAAACUUCUGUAGAAUUUAAAAGACUCUUAAAAACUUUCAUAUGAAGUAAAAAUCAUGUGGAUCUAGAAUAAAAAUGUGAAAUUCUUAUAUACGAGGUGGUGAUUUUCACAAUUUGUCUUCCCCUCCUCAUAUAGUAAAAAGUUAUUUUAAAAAGAAUAAGAAUUUAAGACUUUAAUUGUAUAUAUAUAUAAUUUAAUUGUAAGUUUGCCAUAUGAAAUUGUAUAAUUUAAUAUAAAAAAAAAUAGAUAAUUUUCAUAAAAAAUGAAUGAGAAAAGAAAAAAAAAUGUUAUAAGAAUUCAAUUUAAUUUUUCAUAGAAAAUAGAGAUAAAGAAUAUGAGAGACAAAAAGAUAAAUAAAAACAACUAUAAUCAAUAAAAAAAUUUACUCAUAACUCCAAUAUUCGUUUAAAGAAAAAUGAAAGAGAAAAUAUUGAAGAAAAUACAUAUUAUUAUUAUUUUUUGUGAAAAUCUAGAGCCUGUUUGGGAGUGAUUUUGAUAAUUGAUUUUUUGACCAUUAAGAGAAAAGUGGGGUCCACCUGUGAGAGAAGAAGUCAAAUAUAACGGCUAGAAUAGUGAAAUAACGGUCAAAAAAUCAAUUUUUUUGGUGAAAAAUCGCUCCCAAACAGGCCCAUGAGUACUUUAUGUUAAAAAGUUAGUAUCCCAAAGACUUUUAUAAAAGUUUCUAAAAGUCAUUAAAAUAUGAAUAACCAAAAUUUAUAAAGAUUUUUAAAAUAUUUUAAUUGAAUACACCGUAACUUUUAGAUAUUUUAUAAAAGUCUAUAAAAGUCUAAAUUGAAUGCAUCAAUACUUUUAGAGUGUCUCAUAAAGUCUACAUUGGAUACUCCUAAACUUUUUAAAUUUCAAAAAGUCAUUAAAAGUUUUAAUUGAAUACACAUUUUUAGUCUUUCCAUCCAAGCAGUGAUACUCUCUCUAUUUCUUCACGCUGGCAUCUUUCGCUCUCUUCAGAUAGUCCUCAAAAUCAAUGCUCUCAAUAAGUUCCUAAGACUUCACCUUAUGAAAAUCUAAUGAAACUUCAAUGAAAGGCUUCUCAAAGUUUUCUUGGAAGACUGAAUAUCCUAAUUCUGUCAGUGUUUUAAUUGUAUUUCUCAUCAUAUGCGUUCCCUAAAUAUCAAAUCGGGAAGAGUGUUUAGAAGCCUAGUCUGGAUGUCGCUAGAGUGAAUUACAUUGUCCCUCCAAAGAUUUUUCCCUAACCCGUGAAUGGAGGUUUUGUAAUGUCAUGGUCGGACUCCACCUGCAACCUCAUUACAGCCUUAACGCAUAGAUAAAUGAAAUCCAGCUGGGUUAGCCGAGUUAUAAACUAACUAAAAUAGAAAAUAGAAUGGGGAAGGAAUAAAUGAGAAAAUCAAUAAGAAAGGGAAGAGAAAGCUGUUGAAAUGCUCCAACAAUUUUACUGAAUUUCAGAUUGCAAAAACUGAUUCUCCACUCCAUUUACACAACAUUUAUCCAUUUCUUCUCUACAGUGAAGAAACAUGUUCCUCACAAAAGUGUAAAACCGUUUUCUUAAAAUAAAACUUUACUUAAAUAAUUCCAAAACGGUGCCAUUUCGUUGCAGAUGAAACGGCAUCGCAUGUCCAUUCAAAUUCUAUUAUUUUCGUUGGCUGCUUCCUCUCGUUCUUCUUCCUGUGUGCUCUAUGAAAAUCUAAUGAAACUUCAAUGAAAGGCUUCUCAAAGUUUUCUUGGAAGACUGAAUAUCCUAAUUCUGUCAGUGUUUUAAUUGUAUUUCUCAUCAUAUGCGUUCCCUAAAUAUCAAAUCGGGAAGAGUUUUUAGAAGCCUAGUCUGGAUGUCGCUAGAGUGAAUUACAUUGUCCCUCCAAAGAUUUUUCCCUAACCCGUGAAUGGAGGUUUUGUAAUGUCAUGGUCGGACUCCACCUGCAACCUCAUUACAGCCUUAACGCAUAGAUAAAUGAAAUCCAGCUGGGUUAGCCGAGUUAUAAACUAACUAAAAUAGAAAAUAGAAUGGGGAAGGAAUAAAUGAGAAAAUCAAUAAGAAAGGGAAGAGAAAGCUGUUGAAAUGCUCCAACAAUUUUACUGAAUUUCAGAUUGCAAAAACUGAUUCUCCACUCCAUUUACACAACAUUUAUCCAUUUCUUCUCUACAGUGAAGAAACAUGUUCCUCACAAAAGUGUAAAACCGUUUUCUUAAAAUAAAACUUAACUACUUAAAUAAUCCAAAACGGUGCCAUUUGGUUGCAGAUGAAACGGCAUCGCAUGUCCAUUCAAAUUCUAUUAUUUUCGUUGGCUGCUUCCUCUCGUUCUUCUUCCUGUGUGCUUUGAUAUCCUUUCUUCCCCAUUGAUCUUCUCCUUGACAUGUAAUUGCUCGGAAUAAAAUUCCUAAAAAUAUUCAAUAACCUUUAGGCAUCACUACGAUCAGUCCAUCUUAUAUUAAGUUCCUUGAAAAAUGAACCAUCGUGGGCAGCUUUUGUGCAUUCAUGCAUCUCCUGUAGGAUGGACGACAUUCUGGAUGCAAUGUCACUAUAAAGUUCCUCCCAAAAUUCAAACCACAUCCUAUUUUUAGACUUUCUAAAUCUAAGGAAAGGUUCUGUUUUAGAGAACACUUUUAUUAACAUAGAAGGGGGAACAGAGUCUUUACGAAAAUCAUUUAUAAAUUAUUGUCCAUUUUGAAAUCAAAAUUUCUUUAUCAUUCAUUCAGAUCGAACUCUCUAUUCUUCACAACAAUUUCUUCACCAGCCUAUAUUGAUUUACAGAAUCAUCAAAUUCAUCGUACUUACAAAAUAUUGGAUUUGAUUUUGAGAACUUCAUCAAGUUCAGUAUGAUUAUGUCUUGAUUUUCAGAUUUUACUUCUCAUAUGCUAAUAAUAGAAACAAUUUUCCUUUAAAUUGAUUUCGAGAAUUGUGGAUUUACAUGGAUUUGUGUUUUACAAACAUUUUGCUUUAUAUCUUGCGUAAAAUAGGAUUUAUUAGAUGGGAAGCGUUCUUUCUACGCAUGGAUUUGACAAGUGCUUUUAACAAAUAAUCGUGACCUUUAGAUUAAACAAAUUCAACGAUCAAUAUGUAUUUCACUAAAAUUAUGGGAGAGUUAGUUAUAACCAUUUAAGAUCCAUGGUUGUAUUUCACUAAAAUCAUGAGAGAGUUAGUUAUAAUCAUUUAAGAUCCAUGAAAUACUAACCGUUGAAUUUGCUUAAUCUAAAGGUUAUGAUUAUUUGUCAAAAAUACUUGUCAAAUUCAUGUGUAGGAGAAACGCUCCCCAGAUUGAUAUCAUAUUAUAUUCAUUUGAUUGAAAGUAAUAAGGAGACUCUUUUGAUAUUGUAAUUAUUGUUGUAUGGCAAAUCUUUUGAGUCACAAAGUCGUAUUAUAUUAAUGUUCAAACACAUGUAAUGUGACUUUCUGUCUUGCCACACUGUGACCUAAUCCUUUAAUUGAUUUUGACAUUUAAGUUUGUAUGACUCCGACCUCAUUUACAUAAGACUUUAACUAAGUGUAAACUAUAAGUUUGUGUGAUUGUAAAAAUAAUAGAAACAAUUUUCCUUUAAAUUGAUUUCGAGAAUUGUGGAUUUACAUGGAUUUGUGUUUUACAAACAUUUUGCUUUAUAUCUUGCGUAAUAUAGGAUUUAUUAGAUGGGAAGCGUUCUUUCUACGCAUGGAUUUGACAAGUGCUUUUAACAAAUAAUCGUGAUAUUUAGAUUAAACAAAUUCAACGAUCAAUAUGUAUUUCACUAAAAUCAUGGGAGAGUUAGUUAUAACCAUUUAAGAUCCAUGGUUGUAUUUCACUAAAAUCAUGAGAGAGUUAGUUAUAAUCAUUUAAGAUCCAUGAAAUACUAACCGUUGAAUUUGCUUAAUCUAAAGGUUAUGAUUAUUUGUCAAAAAUACUUGUCAAAUUCAUGUGUAGGAGAAACGCUCCCCAGAUUGAUAUCAUAUUAUAUUCAUUUGAUUGAAAGUAAUAAGGAGACUCUUUUGAUAUUGUAAUUAUUGUUGUAUGGCAAAUCUUUUGAGUCACAAAGUCGUAUUAUAUUAAUGUUCAAACACAUGUAAUGUGACUUUCUGUCUUGCCACACUGUGACCUAAUCCUUUAAUUGAUUUUGACAUUUAAGUUUGUAUGACUCCGACCUCAUUUACAUAAGACUUUAACUAAGUGUAAACUAUAAGUUUGUGUGACUGUAACCUGUUCUACUUAAGAUUUUACUUGAAUGUGACCUAUAAUUGUGUUUGAAUAUGGCCUAUUAUGUUGACAAAUUGUGACUUAAUUAUUUAUUUGAUUGUGACUGUGACCUGUUCUACCUAAAACUCUACAUGAAUGCAACUUAUAAUUGCAUGUGGAUAUGAUAUAUUGUAUUGACAGAUUGUUACCUAUAAUUGCUCUAGUAAACAUAAUUAUCUUGCAAAAAAGUUCGUGACCAUUUUUUUGCCUUAAAUUUGGCUCUUUGUGAUAAUAUCUGUAUUGAAAAUAUGUAAGCAUGUCUCCAUUAGAUGUGACUAUUUGUUUGACCUGAAAUGAAUUGAAUGUGACCCAUUGUUAUUUGUUUGUAAGCAAUGGUGGAAGUUUUGCACGUUUGUUUGUAUAGAGGUCACACAUUCCUAUUCCAAAGAAAAGUUUUUAAUGCCCUACUAAGAAGAAGAAGUCAACGUGUGCGAGAUUGCAAAUUAUGAAAUGUGGAAGAUGAUGAAUCCAGGUACAAUCGUAGGACAUACAACAACAUAGUGCCAAUUAACCAGAAAGAUGGAAAAUUGAAAACAAAGAAAUAGCCAAAGCAAUUCAAAUAGUUUAACAUAUUUUCUCGUUACAUGAGGAUAUUUUUUUAUAGUUACAAGUUCUUUCAUUUUAUUUUCAAAUUGGAUAUUAUUAGGUUAUUUGGAUUAACAAAUUAUCGAACUAAGAUUUUAAUAUUUAUAUGAAAUUUUGAAUUCAUUUAGUGAAGUAUGAAUUCAUGAGUUGUGCAUAUUUUUAUUGAAUGAGUUAUCUGUGCUGUAUGUGUGACCAUGGUUAGGUUGCCAAUGUAUUUUUGUGACCAAUCCUGUGUCAUGUUAUUCUAUGCGACCAAGGUUGUAUAAGGAUAUAUUUGUUUAUGACUUGAAUUGUAUUGCUUGUGACUAUCCGUGACCAUGAAUAUCUCAACUGUAACCAUAUAUAAUCAGGUCUAUUACAAGAUUGAAUGUUUAUGACCAGAUAAGUGUUAUCUGUUAUUGUUUGUGACCACUUAUCAGUAAGAUAUUAUUAUUUUUACCAUGUCUAUGUUCUGUUACUCUCUAUGUGAUUGUGUCUAUUUUAAUUGUGAUUGUUUGUGACAGUUAAAGUUUUUUAACUGUGACUAUAUGCAAUAAUUUCUUGCUUAGUUGUGAUCUUCUCUGUAUUAACUUUGAAUAUACAUAAAUAUGUUAGUGUUAAUGGUGAUUGUGAUGUAAAUCUGAGACGUCAUAUGUUUGUGAUCAUUUGUGUUCAUUGUGGCCACUGUUAUUUGUUAACUAUAAGUACAUUAGGCAAGCUAUCAAAAUAAACAAAAUACUUAUAGUAAUUCUACAUGAAACUUCAUUGAAAAAUAAUCUAGUCAUACAAAAUCAAUGUGUCAUUUAAUAUCUCCUUUUUGUUAGAGCUUGUAGUAAAUUUUCUGAUAAUCGACUGUCUUCGAGAAUAAUGUAUUUCCAUUCCUGCAUAUAUGUAAGUACAUUAGGCAUGCUAUCAAAAUAAACAAAAUACUUCAAACCAAUUACAUAUAAUGUAACAGACUUCAAAAUGUGAAGGAUAGUUCAUCACAGACUUCAUAUUUUGAAGGAUUAUCCUUCACAUUUUGAAGUUUGUGAAGGAUUCCAAACUCAAGAUAUAUCAAUAACAAAUCCAAACACAAACCGAAAGACAGAAUACCCUACUCAAACAUUAGAUCAAAAACUCAAAAUCGAGGUCACGUUCACAACUAUGAAUGAUUAUGUAAAUGUAAUUGUUCACAUAAUGGCACAAUCCAUCAUAAUCCCAAACACGAUUAUCAAAAAUAGGUCGCAAACACUAACACUUGGCCAAUCAACAAAAAUGUAGUUCACAAUUCACAGAAAUUAGGUCACAAUCUAUAGAAGAUAGGUCGUAAUCUACCAAACUUAGGUUAGAAUCACCCAUUCACAUCAUACCCAAGAUACUCAUACAUUGCAUUUGACGUUAUAAUGCAUUAAAAAAAAAAAAAAAAAGAACUAAUACUGCAGGAUUUACCUUCUUCGAUGAGGAUUUUCCAUUAGAAUAGGACAUUUUUCUUUUUUCAUAGAGGUUCUUGAGCAUUUUUCUUCAUUUACCUUUCUUUUUAAUCUUUCAAACUUCUUCUUUCUCAUUGGAAUGAGAAUCACUCCCCACAAUUUAUAAUCAACAUCAUUUUCUUCAAUGCCGGGUUUGCUAAUGUUUGAAUAGUAGAAAUUGUGGUUGAAUUGAAGUUUUCAAGAUUGAUGAAGAUGCCAGAUAAGAGGAGCGAUUUCAAUGGAGGUUUAGUUUUGAAAAGAUUUGAUUGAUUUUCCUCUCUAUCCUGACUUUGAAAUAGUGAAGACAUGGAUAAAUAAGGUUUCGAUAUUAACAAAUUUAUUUUUUGUAUUAAUAUAAAAUUAGUAAUAUUAUAUUAUACCAACAAUAUUAAAAUGAUAUUUUGUCACCUGAAUUAUGAAAUUAAAGUUUAAUAUCUCAAUGUCGAAUUAAGUUGGGAAUGGCAAUUCGAACUACUAAAAUAAAAAAUCGCGAUUAAUUGAAUGAAAUGAGACAAAAAAAAAAAUAGAAUCGAUGGCAAAAUGGGAUGGAUAUGGUAUUUGAUUUUAAUAUCCUAGUUCAGGGCGGGACAGGUAUGGUAUUUAAGUCGUCGCCUAGCCCCGAAUCGAUUAUCCAUUAAAAAAUUAAUUAGGCAAUUGAACUUUCCAUUAUCCUUUCUAUGAUCUUGUACAACCCAAAAUUAUGGCCUGUUAUCGACCUGCUAAUUCCAACUAACUUAACUCAAUGACUCUAUACCCUACUACAUAAAUAAUAAACAUAUAUGGAGUUUGUUUGUUAAAUUCGAAUUUUGCAUUUGGGAAUUGGGAUAUUGUUUGUAUUUUUAUUUGAGAUAUUGUUUACUAAAUUGACUUAGUAUUGUAUAGUUGUUUUUAUUAGCUUUUUUUCAUAAAUUAUAUUUUUUUUUUCCAAUUUGACGGAUGGACCUAUAAAAAAUAAUUUAUUUUCGUAGAACCGAGUCGAAUUGAACCAACUUACGUAGUUAUGAUGCGAUUAUGGUAUAGCAAAAAAAUUGGUGGUUUGGUGAUGGUUUUGGUCUAACGGACCCCAAUCCAAAUCUUUACCAAUCCUAAAUUGAGUAGUUAAAAUCCAUGAUUUUGCUUAAUUUUCCCUUUAAUUUAAAAGUCUAAAAUUUCAUUUUAGUGCUAUUUUUAUAUGUUGUCUAUGGUCUGGUUUCAAUCCGACAGAGUCAGGUCUUGACACAACCCGACUCGAUUCUGUGUCAUCAUCAAGCUAUGAUACAAUCAUACAACAUCAAUGUUAAGCUACUCUCACCCUGUGUAACCAAUAAAUUCCAUGUCCCCAGGCUCUUCCACCACUUUCUCUCUAGUUUUUUAUCUUUCAUCGAAGAAUUUGAUGUAAUUUUUCGAAGUUUUAGUUGUUAGGCAAUUUGUUGUCAAACGACUGAUGUAACCUCAGUUUUAUUUAUUAUCAAUCGGUUUUGGCCAUUUGAUUGAAUUAUAUGUCGACAUUAUUAUCGAGACAACCCAACCCACAUCUCUAUGGACCGUUAAAAGCAACCAUUUUAAUAGUGUUACUCAUGGUUCGUCUCAUUUACUUGGAGGGCUAUCGUAUUCAUUUGGAGCCCAUUACCCUGUGUUGAGCCUUGUUUGGACCACUAAGUUAACAUAACCUAACUUACCAUUUUUGGUCACUCAUUUGGCUUAUAACCUACGGCUCCUCUACGCCUCCACCAUGAAGAACACUCCAUCUCUUUCUGUGACUUUGAUUCUCGGCCUCUUUCCUUCAUAUAAUCUGUGUGGUUUCUCUUGGGCUAUACAUUGUUCUUCAUCUUGGCCGACUUUUGUGAGUAUAUAUAUAGCAACCGUAUGUGGAAAGGAAGGAGGUGGAAGUUAGGUGUUGUCUCAAUUGAGGUUGUGUCGAUAUAUGGUGGAAACUGAGCCCGGUAUCACCUUGAUUAUUGCUGGAAUUACACUUUACAAUUGGUAUCAGAGUGUGGGUCAUCUUCUCAGGCAAGAAAUCGACCAUAACCAGCGGCGAGUUCGCGAUUUUCAGAAGGGGCCGAACCUGCAACUGCUUAUUUCGACCAAACGCGAUCUCCAUUGGACGAACGGAGACCGGACCCAUAACCAGCAGGUGGAGGCGACUCCGGUGGUGAGGAGUGUGGCAACGGCGGCGCGUGGAGGACCUCCUGCGUGGUUUUUUCGUGCCAUUUCAAUUAUUUUAAUUUCCUGAACGUACUAAUGUGUUUGGUUUAUUGUUUCAGGCUGUGCAAAAAUUUUUGGACGAUUUUGCCCUUGAUUACAAUCUGCAUUUGUUGCUGAACGAACUGUUAUAUUUGCUGAACCUUUAGAGCGAAUAGUGGUGGUCCUAAAGCAGCAAAUUCGCAUCUCUCCACGUUACGGACUCAGAUGGUCUGCUCUAGUAAAUUGGCUGAAACCUUUAUAUUUUUGCACUAGCAGAUCAUCGUGUGGGGUGAUCAUUAGGUUUGGGGGUUGCCAUUGCUUAGCAGUCAUUGCUUGUACUAUAAUUGGGGUUAGUGCUAUAAUUAGGGUUACGUGCUCUUGAUUAUUUGAUUGAGUAUUUCUCUUUUAGUGAAACCAGUAUUUGAGUCUCAAUGACAUAACUGUUGUGAAACUAAUUAUCUGUUAGACGUAGUUUAGUCUGUUGCAUUGUUAUUUCCGCUGCUUAUCCAUUCCAUUAGAAUUAUCGUGACCUUACCCGUUUUUGAACAUUCCCUUAAUCUAAGACCCCAAGUCUUACGAAACCCUGAAAAUUUUAAACGGCGUAUAUUAUCUAAAACCCUAAGACUACUUUGUGUGGUUUGAUUGUGUUUUUUGUGCACUCUUUAACUAUUGUGUAAAGAUGACAACUCACGACUUUGAUUUGGGGAUUUUUAAUAGAAAGGGUGAUUUUGCUAUUUGGCAACAAAAACUGAAGGGCAUUUUAGUCCAACAAAAAGUUUCAAAGGUCAUUGAAGGCAAUUUUUUAAUUGAUUUUUCACAAGAAUAAAGAGAAGAAGCCGAUGAGUUUGCCUAUACCUCAAUCAUUUUACACUUGUCUGACACCGUUUUAAGAAAGGUGACUAAACUGAAAACCACUAAAGAAUUUUGGAAAAAAUUGGAAGACUUAUAUUUGUUUAAGUCUACACUGAAUAAACUUUACUUGCUCGAACGUUUUUUCAGUUUUAAAAUGGAUCCUUCAAAGGUCUCGAUGACAGUUUAGACGUGUUUAACAAAUUGGUGCAAGAUAUAGAUAAUUGUGAUUCUGAAACUUAUAAGGCUAUAAUUUUGUUCAAUGCAAUUUCUGUUUCAUAUAAGGAAGUUAAGAACGCUAUUAAGUAUCGUAUAGAUAUGUUGACACCUGAAAUUGUCAUAGACUCUCUUAGAAGUAAAGAAAUGGAAAUUAGGGCUGAAAAACACGAUAAGAGGAACGGUGAGGUACAUAUGAUGGAGGGUACAACUCAAUUUAGGCAAAAUAGUCAUGAUGAAUAUCAAACUAGUGGCGAGUCAAGUGGUAAUGGAUGGAAAAAGAAGAGCAAAGGUAGGUCUAGAUCAAAAUCUAGGACUAAAGUAAGAAAAUGCUAUGGUUGUGGAAACAUGGGACAUUUUAUAAAGGAUUGUCAUAACGAGAAGGGUAAGCUAAAGGUUAAGGAGAGAAAUGAGGUCAAUGUGUUAACACCUACUUCCGAUAUAAAUGGUGGUGAGGUCUAUAUGAUUACAAGUCUCGUUGCAUGUACUGCUGAAUUAAAUCUAACUGCUAAUUCCCGCACGCAUGAGUAGAUACUUGACUCUAGUGCAUCUUUUCAUGUGACGUCUGAGAAGAAUUGGUUUUAUAAAUUGCAUGAAUAUAAUGUUGGGCAUGUUGUGCUGUGUGAUAACUUUGACUAUACUAUUGCUGGAAUUGGUGAUAUAAACGUAAAAUUUGACACAGGUUUUGUGUACACAUUAAAGAAUGUUAGAUAUAUUCCUGAAUUGUCUAGGAAUCUGAUUUCAGUAGGGAGACUUGAAAAGAAUGACUUUACUGGUAAAAUUGGAAAUGGUAUGCUAAAAAUGAUCAAGGGUGCUUUAGUUUCCAUUAAGGGAAUUAAGAAAAACGAUAUAUAUAUUACUAUUGGGAAAGUGAUUAGAGGUUUGAACUCCUCUAUCUCUUCUGCCAAGAUUGAUCACACACACACAUGGCAUAAUAAACUUGCUUAUGUAGGCACCAAGAGACUUAAGCUACUUAAUGAAAAAGGUGCUUUUGGUAAUGAGUGUGUGUCAGAUUUGUCAUUUUGUGAUCAUUGUGUGCUUGGUAAGCAUCAUAAAACUUCUUUCUCCACAAGUGUUAAUAGAGCUAAAGGUAUGCUUGAAUAUGUGCACUCUGAUCUGUGGGGUCCUGCUAGUAAUCCCACAUCGGGUGGGAAUAAGUAUUUUCUGUCUAUUAUCGAUGACUACACUAGAAAAGUGUGGGUCUAUCUAUUGAAAGAUAAAUCUGAGACCUUUAAUAGUUAUAACAAUUGGAAGAGACAAGUAGAAAAUCAAACUGGCAAGAAAAUCAAAUUUUUAAAACAGAUAACGGCCUAGAAUUCUGCAAUAAGGAAUUUGAUAGUAUGUGUAAAGAAAGUGGCAUAACUAGACAUAAAAUCGUUCCUUACACUCCUCAACAAAAUGGGAUAGCAAAAAUGAUUAAUAGGACCAUACUUGAUAAAGUACGUUGCAUGAUAUUAAAUUCUGGGGUUCCCAAGUCAUUUUGGGGUGAGGCUGUUAUGACUGCUUGUUAUUUGAUUAACCUGACGCCUCCUGCUGCAUUGAAUGAUGACACUCCGCAUGAGAGAUGGUCGGGUAAACUGAGUGAUUACUCGAUGCUUAGAACUUUUGGCUGUACGGCUUUUUCUCAUCAAAGUGGGGGAAAGCUGGAACCUAGAGUUAGGAAGUGUAUCUUUCUAGGAUACCCCGAGGGUAUUAAGGGUUAUAUGUUAUGGGAUAGAAGCCAAAAAGGGGUUAAGAUCAUCAUAAGUAGGGAUGUCACGUUUAACAAGAAUGAGAUGCCGUGUAUUAAAAGGGAAACUGAACCAGGUGAAGAAAGAGACCCGUUUAAGGUGGAGUUAGGAAAGCUCAGUACACCUACCCCUAUUGCUCCUAAUGAGGUGGAAAUUCAAGUUCAGGAACCUGAGGUGGAGAAUAGUAACGAAGUAGUGAUAGAAGAGCACUAUGAGGAAGAAAAUCAUUUAGCUAACUACAACUUCGUUAGGGAUAGAAAGAGGAGACAAACGAGAGAACCUAGAAGGUUCGAUUUUGAAUCUGAAUGAGUUUUCGCCCAGGCUAGUUAUGAAGAAUUAGUUGAUAAAGAGCCAAAAACCUUUGAAGAGGCAAUAGGCAGUGAUCAAUCUAAUGAAUGGCUUAAGGAAAUGAAAGAAGAGAUGAGUUCUCUAAAAAAGAAUCAUACUUGGGAGUUAGUACCUAGGCCUAAGAACAAAUCGAUUGUUGAUUACAAAUGGGUCUUUAAGGUUAAGGAAGGUACUAGUAGCUUGAAACCCUUAAGGUUUAAAACUAAGUUAGUAGCUAAAGGCUACACACAGAAAGAGGGCGUUGAUUAUAAUGAGAUUUUCUCACCAGUUGUUAAGUACACCACUAUUAGGGUCAUGCUCACAUUGGUUGCACACUCUGAUUGGGAACUUGAACAACUUGAUGUAAAACUGCCUUUUUACAUGGUGAGCUUGAUGAACAAAUCUUCAUGAAUCAACCAAAAGGUUUUAAGGACAAGUCAAAACCUGAUUAUGUGUGUUUUCUGAGAAGAUCCUUGUAUGGGUUAAAACAAUCUCCUAGACAGUGGUACAAGAGGUUUGAUUCCUUUGUACCCACUAUAGGGUUCCAAAGAAGUAAAUUUGAUCACUGUUUGUAUUUUCAACACAGUGAGACUGAUGAUAAUUAUCUGUUUUUGUUGCUCUAUGUGGACGACAUGCUCUUGAUUAGAUCAUCCUCUAAGUGGAUAAAUAACAUAAAAACAAAACUAAGUGGUGAAUUUUGACAUAAAAGGCCUAGAUAAAGCUAAGAGAAUCCAAGGUAUGAAAAUAGAAAGAGAUAGGUCAAAUUCCGUUUUGUUUUUACAUCAGUCUCCAUACAUAUCCAAAGUAUUGAAGAAAUUUAAUAUGAGUGAUUGCAAACCCUAUCACGUUGCCUCUUGCUAAUCAUUUUGUUUUAUCGAAGGAACAAUCCCUUUGCAAUGAGCCUGAAGUAAAAUAAAUGAGUAGAGUACCUUACUCUAAUGUGAUUGAUUUCAUAAUGUAUUUGAUGGUUUACACUAAAUCGGAUUUAGGUUUUGCUGUUAGUACUCUCAGUAGAUACAUAGCUAAUCCGGGCCCUGAACAUUGGGAAGCGCUAAAGUGGCUAUUAAAGUACUUGAAGGGUACAAGUGACGUAGGUUUAAAGUUUAGUGCUAAUAAAGAAGGUAUAAAAUUAAAGGGUUUUGUAGAUACUGAUUAUGCGGGAGAUAGGGAUGGUAGGAAAUUCACUUCGUCUUACGUGUUUACCUUAUCUAAUUCAUGUGUUAGUUGGAAAUCACAAUUACAACAUAUUGUUGCACUAACCACUACAGAAUGAGAAUAUAUUUCUACCAAUGAAGCUAUUAAAGAAGCUCUAUCGCUUAGAGGCCUACUUCAUGAACUAUGUGUCUUGAAUGAUUAUGUGGAUGUGUAGUCUGAUAGUCGGUCACCUAUACAUUUGUGCAAGAACACCGUUUUUCACGAGAGCACUAAACACAUUGAUGUUAGACUCCACUUUAUUAGAGAUAUAGUAGCUCAAGAGGUGGUAAGACUUGAAAAGGUCCACACACACUACAACCCUUCCGAUAAGGGGACGAAGGUACUGCCACUAGCAAAGUUUAGAAGUUGCAAGAAACUUCUAAAUAUUGAUACAGGUAAAUGAUUUCCAAUUUUAUUUGUUUUCUAUUAGAGGUGUCACUAAUGGGAGACAUUUUCUUUUGCAGGUCUUUUGACACUAAGGUGGAGGUUGUUAGGCAAUUUGUUGUCAAACAACCUCCAGGGCAAUGAUGUAACAUCGAUUUUAUUUAUUAUCAAUCGGCCUUGGCCAUAUGAUUGAAUUAUAUGUCAACACUAUCAUCAAGACAAUCCAACCCACAUCUCUAUGGACCGUUAGAAGCAACCUAUUUUAAUAGUGUUGCUCAUGGUUCGUCUCAUUUACUUGGAGGGCUAUGUUAUUCAUUUGGAGCCCAUUACCUUGUGUUGAGCCUUGUUUGGACCACUAAGUUAACCUAACCUAACUUACCAUUUUUGGUCACUCAUUUGGCUUAUAACCUACGGCUCCUCUACACCUCCACCAUGAAGAACACUCCAUCUCUUUCUGUGACUUUGAUUCUCGGCCUCUUUCCUUCAUAUAACUUGUGUGGUUUCUCUUGGGCUAUACAUUGUUCUUCAUCUUGGCCGACUCUUUGUGAGUAUAUAUAUAGCAACCGUAUGUGGGAAGGAAGGAGGUGGAAGUUGGGUGUUGUCUCAAUCGAGGUUGUGUCGAUAUAUGGUGGAAACUGAGCCCGGUAUCACCUUGGUUAUUGCUGAAAUUACACCUUACAACAGCAAAAUAGUAUCAAAAUGCUGGGAGAUUUUACCACCCAACGCGCAUUAUUUGGUGGCGCUAUCACCAGGUCUUUCCCCCUUCGCUUCCAGGUUGGCAUUUGGUAAUUUCUUUUGUUUUUUCUCUGAUUUCUUGGUAUAAUUUUUUUGCGUGAAAAAAUAUGUUACUGAUGAAUUCAUGCUUGUACUGAUUUUCAUUGUGAAGGAUGUGAGUACUAUUCGCCAAGUUCCUGAUCAUCAGGUUAGUUAAUUAAUGAAGAUUAUUGAUUUUUUUUGGGUUUUUGGUAUUUUCCUGUUUUCGGUGAUUCAAUGAUGAUUUAUCUUUUGAUUGCCUUGUUUAUGGAAUGUCUUUAGGAGGUAUUUGUGGACCCUACGCGCGAUGAGAGCUUGAUAUUUGAAUUGCUGGACUUGAAGGCUGACGUGCUGGAUGAGGGGAGUGCCACGUGGUUUCUUCAAGACCUUGCCAACGAACAAGAUGCUGAUGGAACGAUGGUAAAAUUUGAAUUUUCCAUUUUGUUUUGCUUUUGAUGUCGCUCGGUGGAAUUCUUGAAUCUUGAUUAGUCAAUCACAAAUUAUGGAGUAGCUACUGACUAUAUUUUAAGGUACUUGCUGUGAUAAUUAAGUGAAUCUUAAAUUUGAGCCGUUAGUCUCAGUUUGAUUACAUGUAUAAUUUUUGCCUUGUGCAUGAACAAAAAAUAAGAACUUUUUUUGGUAACAAUUUUCUAGAGAGGUAUAUCUUUUAAAUCAAUUACUUUUCUACGAUCUGCGUCCGUUGGAUUAUUGUUGAGAUGUGGCAGUAACUUUGGUGGUCGAGAAUUACACUAGCAAUAAUGGUUUGAAUACAUUUCCCUUCCUGGGAUUUCUUAAAUUUCAACUUAAUUAAUCACCAUACGUUUUCUGGAUUUUCUUAUAUGCAAAACAAGGCCGUAUGAUUUCAUAGAGGGGAUAAUGUAAUCUUGUGAAAAAAAUUCGCUUUUUCUGUGGAUGAAUAUUAUUGCAGAGAUUUUACAGGGUUCGUUUUUUCUUUAAGAUUGAUGUAUACCUGUGGAUUGAACCUCUUUUUUUAGUUCUAGUGAAGCCACCUAUAAUUUACAAUUUUUUGUUAAUAAUCUAUACAGAUUUAUUAACCUUCUCACUGUGCAUCAAUGAAUGUUUCUAUAAUUUAAAACUUAGAAUUUCCACAUGCUUUCAUAAGUUCCCCCAUCUAAGCUUUUGUCUUAACUUUUUCUUACUAACUUCUUAGUCGUGCUGAGAGAUAUGGAACAGUGAAUUUAUUAUAAUGAGCUGAGAGUUACAUAUUUUAAGGUACUUGAGCAGUCUGGGGUGUUUGAGGCUGAUUGGUUGCAAUACAGAAACAUACCUGCUGUUGUUACAACUGCUGCUGGACCUGGACAAAUGGUAUGCAACAUUUUGUAUCAUAUAUAUAGGGGAACAUACGUUGGACUUUUUUAAUUUUUUUGACUUUUGCUUUGUUAAUUUUAGCUUUGUAAUUGGUUGCAAACAAUGGCACAGUAGGCAGUGUGCUAUAGGGUAAUUGGGAAAGUAUUUUAAAACUCAUCACAUGUUCCUAUUCUUGUAUUUGAUGUGUGAUGUUAAGAACUAUGGAAAAGUAGUGUUAGGUGUCUCCAACGUGACUCUUUCUAUCAACUUCCACAAGAAACUGAAUCCAUACUCUAAGUUUAGGCAAGAAGGCCUAAAACCAAAAAAUCAUCUGUACUUCUUUUCCUUCUUCACUAGAUGAAAAUGAAAUUUAUUUGAAAUUUUCACGAUUAUCUCAAAUAAUUGCUUAAAGAGCAUGCAUUCCUCAUGGAUAUAUUUAUUUUGUGAUCAUAACUUCUCUCCUGGAAAAAGCAAUUGCGACUGCUACAGCAGGUGGAACGAUGAUAAACAUUAUCAACUGUGAUAAAAUUUCACAGAAUAUUGUGAAGGUAAAUUUGUUUACUCUUCUUUAUAGCACUUCACUUCUAUAUUUGGGGGAGCAAAUGGGGUCAGGCCAUUUGGGGAACAGAUUGAAAAUAUGGACUGAUAGGUCAAUUUGCAAUGUGUUUUUGUCAACUGUAUGUAUGUAUGAAGAAAGAAUUACAGAGUGACCUAUGGUUUUAAGUUCUUGCUUCUUUGCAUGCUCGGUUACAUGGAGAGAAAUAGUGAGAAGGGAGAUUUCAUGAAAGAAGUCGCAGACAAAAUAAUAAAGUGCAUUGGUGGGGAAUAUAGAAACUGGAUAAAUAAAUAGGUUUUCAGAACAUUUCGUAAAGGUAGAAAUCUGGUAAGAUCGGAUUUUUCAUAGCAAAACCAAGACAAAAUUAACUGUUUUUUGUAACUUAAGUAAGCAAAGCUUAUUCUCUUUGGUUUGCAUUCCCAAUUCAAACUGGGACAUGUAGACCAUAUCUAUAUUUAAGUUGUUUUGUGCAAUCUAAAUGUUGGUUUUUCCAGGUCUACUUGGCUAAUUUGCGCCUUAAGGGAGUUGCGACAGAUGUUCUGAUCACAGCAUAUGAGCCUAUGUUGAUUAAGUUGCAAAAACUUUCAUCUGCCAAUGCUUAUCGGUUAUCACUUUGUUUAUUACUUUGCUGAAGAUAUGCAAGUCUUCCCGAGCAUGACGGAAAACUACUUUUUUUCUACCUGUUGAGAUGUACCUAAUAUAUUCUUUCAUCUGCUUUGUUUCUGUUCUUGUAGUCCUUUGAGCGAAAGUGCUAGCGCAAUUGGGGCUGGUUUCAUUGUACCUGCUGCGCAAUGUGGAUGUAUACCAAUGGCUGAGGUGUUCAAGCUUGCUGUUUCUAGUUUCAAGGUCAAUGAUUGGAGCCUUUUUGGUGUUGCUGCUUGAUAAGUUCUGGAAGGAUGCAUGUAAACAAAAACCGCGAAUUAUCGAAAUUGCACGUUUUCUAUUUCCCAUCUUAGACCAGUUUUCACUUGGAAUUAGAAACUUUUACUUGGCAGAGGAAAAGAAGUUGCUUGGAAUUGGACCCUUGGAAGUUCUUUUGGCGUGUUAGCCGGUUAGAUCUCAAUAUUUGAUGAAAUACUUUUGCUGAUUAUUGGCAAAUUCUCGUUAUAGGUUACAAUUCUUGGAUCAGUGUCCUUAUUUAAGGCUUUUCUUUUGAACUUUACAGUGAACACUGUAAUUACGUGUUUUUUGUAUUUUCACAGCUCUGUCACUUUCAGAUGGUAAUUACUCUUCUUACACGGAUUACUUGUGUACAUAUUGUAAUUUCGUCCAAUUUGGUGCCUUGUGUUGGCAAAACUUGAUAUUUUCUGAUGACACUCAUUGUUCUAUUGCAUUCAGAACAGUAGUGCAAUAAGAAUCUUAAAAGGGAGAAACAAGUCAACAACAGUGUCUAAUUGUACUACAAAAAUAUAUUAGAGAAAAACUGAAUGUGUACAUGCUUAUAAAUAUUACAAGACUUCCAAGUACAAAAUAUAAGCAGAAAAAUAUUUAUCUCCGCCUCUGGGGGUGGAAAGUGCUAUUAGCUGGUGUCUUCUCCUCUCUAAAAGGUUGGGUUGAUUCAUCUGAUACACUAGGCAAUCUUGACACACUGCCCUUGCUUCUCCUUGCAUUUGGUCCAAUUUCCUCUAUCAUGUACUUCCAUCCGUCAAUAGGCCUCCUUCGGCUAAAUAUGUGAGUCUUUAUAAAACUAGCUAUCUGAAUACCACAAAUUAAGCCGUUUCAGUUAAAAUAAAAAAUAAAAAAAUGGCGAGACGUAAGCGUAAACAACGUAAAUCUUGUAAAUGAAAUUAAGAAAAAAAAUAAUAUUCAUCAAGAAAUUGAACAGAACCCAAGCCCUGCUAACUCCGAUGUCCCCAUCUCCAUAUAUUCAACGCACUAUGCCAAAAAUUUCAUGAAGGAAAUCGGAAUGGGAGGAAUAUCAUAGUUGACAAUAUGUUAUAGAUAAAGUAUUUUUACAUUUUCAUCCUAACAAUUCCAGGGUUUUAUUUUCAGACAUGGAUUUCUUCCUGAACAUGCUUAUUAACGGGCAAGCAAACCAUCUCAAUCAUGAAAUAAUAAUGAGACUUAAAAAUGCAUAACCACCGGAUGAGUUCUUUCAACAUACCCCAAUAGGCAAAACCCUUACUACUUUUUUUCAACAACCUCGUCAUCAAUAGGUAAAAACACGAAACCAACAUGUUAGCCAUUUUUUACUACUAUGGAUAACUAAAGGGCAAAGCAUCAAAAAAAUUGAUUUUUACUAUCUCCCCCCCCCCACCCCCCCCCCGCCAUUUAUUUCUACACAUGACAUUAUAUAACAUAUAAUCAUGUCAACGUACCCAGUAAUUUAAACAAGACCAGUUAAUCAUUGCACAACAUGCGAAAAAUUUCUACUUGAAAUAAUAUGAAUUAGAAUUGAAAGUGAAGGAAUAAAGUGCUUACUCAGAGCAGCUAUCGAGCAAUUUCUCUAUAUUAUCUCCAUCAACGGAAAUGGAGUCCCCCAAUUUUGCCUCCUCCAUUUUCUCAAUCUCCUUCAUCCAUAGCCCCGCGUGUAUCUUCUGCUUCUUCAACCUGUAAUCUCGUUUAAUAUUCUCCAAGCUAUAAAGCGACGAUGAAGAUGGAGACAAUGCAGAGGAGUCCAUAUUCUUUUUAUCUUCCUUUGUCAUUUUGCCCUUCCUCUGGUCCCAAUUCUCGUUCAUGUCCUCCACAAAGGCCUUGGUCUCGGAGUCAAUUUCUUCUCCCUGGUGAGUAUUUUCAGCGGUGGCAGUGGGGAGGGAAAAGGUAACGUCGGAUUCCCAGGGGGCUACAGGUGAGGAUUUGCCGAAAUUAUCGUCAGGAAGCCACGCCGUUUCCCAUGCGUCGUUCCACUCGUUGUCGCCAGUUUUGUUCUUAUUGGUUGUUCGGUUGGUGGAAAAUAAAGCGGUUGUUGCGGCGGCGGAGGGAUGCCAGCUGGAUUUACUGAGAGUGGCGGCGAGCCUGUAAAUUGGAGUCAUUUUAAGGGAUGGAUACUGGUGUGUAUGUGAAUUUUCAGCACAAAGUUUAUUAGAGCUUGUUUGUAUAGUCAAAUUUUAAUUUGCCGGAGGUGGCUGCUGGAGUUAAUCGGGGGCAGCGGGGCCGGGAGUGGCGGUGGAGGCAGUGGUAGAUUCUGAAGAAGAUGACCUGAACAUAUUUAGCCCUGUUUGGUCCGGUUUUACUUGUUCCAAUGGCCACCAAAUUUAGGUUUAAGUGUUUGAUUGGUCACGAAGCUUAAAAGGGUAAUUGGCACAAAACGUCCCUACCUUUCAAGUCUAUUGUGGAAAACGUUUUUAUCUUUCAUUUUUUGGCAUUUUUGCCCUCAUUUCAACAUUUCUUUGCGCUGGACAUCCUUCCGUCCAUAUUCCAUCAGUUUUUCCGUUAAUUAAAGGGUAAUUGGCACAAAACAUCCCUACCUUUCAAGUCUAUUGUGGAAAACGUCCCUACCUUUCAUUUUUUGGCAUUUUUGCCCUCAUUUCAACCUUUCUUUGCGUUGGACGUCCUUCCGUCCAUAUUCCGUCAGUUUUUCCGUUAAUUAAAUACAAAAAUACCUUUUUCUUUCCAUAAACAAGGGUAAAAUUGUCCUCACCCACUUCCCCCAUUUUUCCCGCCAUCAACUUAGUCCAUAAGUAACAGUAGCAGCAAUAUGAAUCUGAAAAUACUUUAAAUGAUUAAGUUAAAUAAAGAAAAAAUAUCGUGAACACAUUAUAUUUCACAAUUCCACAACUACUGUUGCUGUCAUCUUGUGUCACUGGAAAAAUUUAGAAAGACAUAUUAAAUGGGUAGUCAAUUUAUAAUGAGUCAAUUUAAAAUGAGCCAUUCAUCUUCUCCAUUGAGCCAAAAAGAGCUAUUCACCAUUUUGGCUCAUUAUAAAUUGAUUACCCAUUUAAUAUGUCUUUCUAAAAUUUUCCAGUGACACAAGAUGAUAGCAACAGUAGCUGUGGAAUUGUGAAAUAUAAUGUGUUCACGAUAUUUUUUCUUUAUUUAACUCAAUCAUUUAAAAUAUUUUCAAAUUCAUGUUGCUGCUACUGUUACUUAUGGACUAAGUUGAUGGCGGAAAAAAUGGGUGAAGUGGGUGAGGACAAUUUUACCCUUGUUUAUGAAAAGAAAAAUGUAUUUUUGUAUUUAAUUAACGGAAAAACUGACGGAAUAUGGACGGAAGGACGUCCAGCGCAAAGAAAGGUUGAAAUGAGGGCAAAAAUGCCAAAAAAUGAAAGGUAGAGAUGUUUUCCACAAUAGACUUGAAAGGUAGGGACGUUUUGUGCCAAUUACUCUUUAAUUAACGGAAAAACUGACGGAAUAUGGACAUAAGGACGUCCAGCGCAAAGAAACGUUGAAAUGAGGGCAAAAAUGCCAAAAAAUGAAAGGUAGGGACGCUUUGUGCCAAUUACCCAAGCUUAAAAUGUGAAACUUAACUUACAAUACUUUUAAAAUUUAGUGAUCAAAAUUUACAUUUUAAAUUUCAGCAAACAAUCGAAUAUAUGAACUUAAAUUCAGUGAUCAAAAUUUAACAUUUUAAAUUUAGUGAUCAAUCAAAAACAUAAACUUAAGUUCAAUAACCAUUGGAACAACUCACCACAUCAAUCCUGAUAUGCCCGGGGCAGUUGAACCACAUUGUAAUGUGGCAUAUUUAAAUUAAAAUAAAAUUUUUAUUAGAUUUUAAUAGAAGUGAAUAGAGUAUGUGAUAAAGAAAAAAAAAAGUUGUGAAUUCUAGCGAAUAUAGGAUUAAAAUUAAUUUUUUACAUUGACUUUGAUUAAAAUCUAAAAUUUAAUUUCUGCCAACUAAUUUUUUUAUUUGUUGCUUUAAGUUAAAGGGUUUAAAUGUCAUUUUAUAAAAUAUUAACACAUUUUUGGACAGAAACUGCACGUGGGACGAAGUCUGCUCAUUUCUCAAACGUUCGUAGAAACAAAUCAAACAAAUAAAAGAUUGGUGGUAUUUUUUCUACUUUUCUUAAAAGUAGAGAUGAAUAUUGCAAUAUACACUUCUUUUUAAUAUUAGGGGUAAUUAUCUUACUCCACCCGUGUUUAUUACUUAUUUGCACUUAAAACCAUCAAUUUUUUUAUUAUAAUUUUGAGAAUUAUACUACUUGUACAUAAAAAUGGUACAUAAAGGAUUACACAAAAUGAUAUGGUGGAAGAAGAUUAGAUGAAACAGUAAACUGUGUUUUAAAUUGAUAAAUAAUAAAGUGACAUUUUUUAAAUUUAUUAUUAUUUUUUUUUUUUGCGCAAUCUUGUCAUCAACAUUUUCAUUAAUUGAUACAUCUUUCUCUCAUUACGGUUUUCAUUUAUAAGUUUGUUGGGAGAAAAGUAAAAUGACUUAUUGUUUAUUGUGUACAUAUGUAUAUAUAAUGUGAUACAACAAAUGAAAAAUAUUGUGUAAACAUAGUUAGGGUUUAGUUAUAGUAAGAGCAUAAUAGUCAUGUUAAAGAAAUUUUGAUUUUCAUGGGUUGUAACUCAUUUUCUAAAGGUUGGGCGUUGAAAUCUCAUGCCUUGUUUGAGUCGCAUUUUUUGAAAAAAAUACAUUUUUAAACAGUGAUUUGAUAUCAUUUCAACUAUACAUUAUUCAAUAAAAUAACAUUACAUGUAAAUUCAAAAAAAAUUCUUAUUAUUUAAUUAUACAUUCUCUAUCGAUCUAUUAUUUCAAAAUACAUUAUUUACAAAUGAUACGAUACAAACACACACUCCGUUUAAUGGUUGGUAGCCGAGAUAAGGUAGUCUUAAGAAAAAUGGGCCCAAUUUUUAGUCUAAUCUCUUUAGACCGAACAUGAAGGCCCAUUAGGGUUUUGUACUGAAACAACUCCUAUAUAAACAAUUCUUACAGGCCUUUUACUGGAAAGGUGAAACCCUAAUCUGUUGCCUUCAGUUGGAGCAGGAAGAGAGAGCCGGAUUGGAGAUCGAAUCAGUGGGGGUCAACAACAAUGGUGCACGUCUCUUUUUACCGUAACUGUAAGCAUUUUUCUAGUCAUUAUUGUACUUACAGAGAUAUACGCAUAAGUCUGUGAUUUAUAAAUGGGAGAGUGAAUUUUGAUGUUAGUUGCCUUGUUGAUCUUCGACGUCUUUUGCUCAAUUCCUGUUUUGAGCUGUUCGAUAUCCGGUGAUGCUAUUGAUGUAAUUUUUUCCUGAUUCUGUUUUACAAGUUUGAAUCUAUGUAAGUGAUUUUUAGUUUUAAGCAGAAUGGGCGUAGUGAUCUUAAAGUUUUCAUUAUAAUUAAAUGUAUCUUUUUCAUAAAUUUAUUAAGAAAAGUUUUGAUUUUGUUUAACUAACAACUGAGGGGCUUUGGAAAAAUGAGGAUACAUCAUAUGCUGCACAAAAAAAAGAAAAUCUUUGUUCAAUUGUCUAUUAUCUAUUCAGAAAAACGUGAGUCUGUGUACACGUAGGAAAUAAUUAACUUAUUCGCUCACCCAAUUGGAAGGUGAAGUUUGUGAUAGCAUAUUGUUGAUAUGCUUGCCAAUUUUUCUACCGUCAAUAUAGUACAAUGUGGAAAUUUUAGGUCCCUAUACUUAUAUGAGAUAAUUAACUCAUUUGCUCACCAAAGUUUGAAUCUGAUGUUUGCAACCUUACACUGAUUGAAACUAGAUUAUUGCCUUGAUAUGAUAUUUCGUGAAAUAUAGAACUUCAAAUACUAAAUUAUAUUGUUCAUUUAAAUAACAAAAAGGUUCCCUCCUCGAUAGGUUAGCUAUAUUAGUGGUUGAAUUGCUUGCUGAACUGAUAGAUACAUGAUUGGUUACAGAUGGGAAAACAUUUAAGAAGCCCCGUCGUCCCUAUGAAAAGGAACGACUAGAUGCUGAAUUGAAGCUUGUUGGAGAGUAUGGACUUAGGUGCAAGAGGGAACUCUGGAGGGUUCAGUAUGCACUAAGCCGCAUCAGAAAUGCUGCAAGAAAUCUUCUGACUCUUGAUGAGAAGGACCCUCGUCGUAUUUUUGAGGGUGAAGCCCUUUUGAGGAGGAUGAACAGGUAUGGACUGUUGGAUGAGAGCCAGAAUAAGCUCGAUUACGUCCUGUCCCUCACAGUAGAGAAUUUCCUUGAGCGCCGCCUGCAAACUUGUGUGUUUAAGGCAGGUAUGGCUAAGUCAAUCCACCAUGCUAGAGUGCUCAUCAGGCAAAGGCAUAUCAGGUGCGGAUGAUUUCUCAAUUUUAAUGACUGUUUUAAUGCCCAUGUUAUUGACUCUUCAUUUUGACUUUUAUUAUGUUAUUUCAUAUAUAUAUAUAUUGGGAAAUAUUAUUGACACACAAAUUAGAUGAUGAAUGUCAUUUAGAAAUGGAUAUUUGAUUGCAUAUAGUAAAUUGUCGAUAUACUUAUAGGUGUGAUAAGUAAUACGCCUUGGUUUUUGCUUUCACUUGUGUAUCAGCAUCAAAGCUUUCAAUUUUGUAUGCACUUAGAUCAACACAACAGCAAGAUUCAGAUAAUUACAUGAUAUGACAUUAAGCAAUUGAAAAAUCUUGUUUAUGCCAUUUUAAUCGUUGGUUAACACCAAUGGUAGAGUUGGCCUCAUAUUCUCUUGGUUCUUGCAUAACUUCUUAAUCUUGUAUAUGUAAGGAUUUUAUAUUUCUCAUAGUGUGAGCUUCAAAUCUUGCCUUAGCUUUUGGAAUCUCGGCGGAUAGAGGACUUGUGGUUGGCAGAUAACUUAUAAGUGACGCAAUAAUUUUUAUCUUUCGGUUUUAUUUAUAUCAAUCGAGGGAAUGAUUUAGUCUUGUAAGCAUUCCAUCUCUCUCUUUUGCAUGCAUGUAGAGUUAAUGUUUGUCACUGACUCACUGGCACUCUUCCCUAAUAUGAACUUGAACUUGACUCUUGGAAGUUUGAAACGUGCUUUUGAUUGAAAAUCAUGAUUACAUUACUUUUUUAUGAGGUGCUUACAUUUGUGACCUUUUUACUUAGAAUAUAGAAAAGUUAUGAAAUGUCAUGACUAGGAAAUUCUGCUACUAACGCAAGCUACAUUGUAAAUUAUUCUUAAGUUAAAUUUGUUAUUGAGCCCCUUUUUUCAAAAAAAAAAAAAAUACAUUUUGAAAUAGUGAUUUGAUGGAGAAUGCGUAUUUAAAAAAUAAGGAAAAGUUUCAAGUUUGUGUUUAUAAUUUUGUUGAAGAAUGUGUAAUUGAAAAUAAGAGAGAUAAAUUUCUUAAAUAAUGGAGCUCAAACUAGAACUAAAUAUGCCUGAUUUUUAAUAAUAAUAAUAAUAAUAAUAAUAAUAAUUAACACUGAUUUUUAAACUUGAAAUUUAAAAUGUAGGUUUCGCUUAGCUUUGCGAAGUGGGUUUCUGGCAACAUUUGUAGCCCAUAUGUAGAAAACCAAAUUUGUACACAUAAACAUUGCUCAAGGAAAAGAUGAAGCUCAAUUCAUGACACCACCCAGACUAUUUUGAUAACAGAAUUAAUUAAUUGUUCUUUAUCAAAAAAUUAAUUUCUUUUUCUUCAUUUAUACUGUUGAUUUCACUCUAUCAAUUAUGCCAUAACUAUCUUCUUCAUCUAAUUUAUUUUUUUUUAAAUAAAAACUUUAAAUGCCACUAAAUUACUAUAAGCCAUUGUUUGGUGCAAAUUAAAAUCAAAAUUUUUUAGUAAACUUUGAUGAAAUUUGUGGUUAAAAAUUAUGGAUUAAAAAAAAACUAAAAAUUAAAAUUAAUUGUUAACUAUGACUUUGAAUUCAAAUCAUAUUAUAAUUAUACCAAAUACGGGCUAAAUCUAAUUAUCAUGAAAGGAAUAGGCUUGCUCAUCUUUUAUGUACAGCCCAUUGGGUCACCACAUAGUUGCAUCUCAAUCUAAAUUUGUUGAGUAACUUAUUGAGGGGGAAAAAAAUGCAAAAAGGAAAAAAAAAANNNNNNNNNNNNNNNNNNNNNNNNNNNNNNNNNNNNNNNNNNNNNNNNNNNNNNNNNNNNNNNNNNNNNNNNNNNNNNNNNNNNNNNNNNNNNNNNNNNNNNNNNNNNNNNNNNNNNNNNNNNNNNNNNNNNNNNNNNNNNNNNNNNNNNNNNNNNNNNNNNNNNNNNNNNNNNNNNNNNNNNNNNNNNNNNNNNNNNNNNNNNNNNNNNNNNNNNNNNNNNNNNNNNNNNNNNNNNNNNNNNNNNNNNNNNNNNNNNNNNNNNNNNNNNNNNNNNNNNNNNNNNNNNNNNNNNNNNNNNNNNNNNNNNNNNNNNNNNNNNNNNNNNNNNNNNNNNNNNNNNNNNNNNNNNNNNNNNNNNNNNNNNNNNNNNNNNNNNNNNNNNNNNNNNNNNNNNNNNNNNNNNNNNNNNNNNNNNNNNNNNNNNNNNNNNNNNNNNNNNNNNNNNNNNNNNNNNNNNNNNNNNNNNNNNNNNNNNNNNNNNNNNNNNNNNNNNNNNNNNNNNNNNNNNNNNNNNNNNNNNNNNNNNNNNNNNNNNNNNNNNNNNNNNNNNNNNNNNNNNNNNNNNNNNNNNNNNNNNNNNNNNNNNNNNNNNNNNNNNNNNNNNNNNNNNNNNNNNNNNNNNNNNNNNNNNNNNNNNNNNNNNNNNNNNNNNNNNNNNNNNNNNNNNNNNNNNNNNNNNNNNNNNNNNNNNNNNNNNNNNNNNNNNNNNNNNNNNNNNNNNNNNNNNNNNNNNNNNNNNNNNNNNNNNNNNNNNNNNNNNNNNNNNNNNNNNNNNNNNNNNNNNNNNNNNNNNNNNNNNNNNNNNNNNNNNNNNNNNNNNNNNNNNNNNNNNNNNNNNNNNNNNNNNNNNNNNNNNNNNNNNNNNNNNNNNNNNNNNNNNNNNNNNNNNNNNNNNNNNNNNNNNNNNNNNNNNNNNNNNNNNNNNNNNNNNNNNNNNNNNNNNNNNNNNNNNNNNNNNNNNNNNNNNNNNNNNNNNNNNNNNNNNNNNAUAUUUGACUUCUUCUCUCACAGAUGGACCUCACUUUUCUCCUAACGGUCAAAAAAUCAAUUCUCAAAAUCAUUUACAAACGGACUCUAAUAUUUGGUACACAUUUUCAACAAUGCACGUAGCAGAGACGGCAAGGGUCCUUCAGAUGUCACAUCGUAUCUUUGUUAUUUUUUGUCAAUAAAGGUUUUCCUUUUCUUUGUUAUGUCAUUCAAGCAUAGUCUUUUAUUAACUAUGCAUAUGAAACUUUCUAGAUGUAUAUUGAAAAUAAAAUUUAUUUACAUAUAUAGAAUCAUAGGUAUAGGUCUAUAUGAUGCACUUCGAUAAGGUGUGUCAAAUUGGAUCGUAUUAUCAACUUGGUACAAAUGCGCCAAUUGGACUUUUUAGCUGAUGCUACGAGUUUCUUGCAAAGAAGAUUGUCUUUUGAAACGAUGGUAUUUUCAUGCUUUAGUGAAAAUUAUGUCCAACUAAUCUAUUGCUAAGAUCAACUUGUUCAAAUGAAAUAUAACAUAAAACAUAUAAUACCUAAAUAUAAAAUUCGACUUCUAUAUACUCCUCACAAAGUGGAGGAAGCUUUUGGAAAUGUCAAAGAAAGAACUUGUUCUUUCGACAUAAGAAUUUUUAUCAAUAAUUUUGAGAUCUUAAUAAUUUAUUCUGUAGAUCUUAAUUUACUGUAUACUAAACUAAUUAGUCAAAAAUGCAUGAGAAUCAUGAAAUUUUGGCAUGUUCCAUGUGUUGUCUUUCACUCAUGACUAGUAUUUUGAGUAUAUCUUUAAAUGAUGAAUAUUUUUUUAUGUUCCUUACCAUGAUAAAAUUUGACAUAUGGCAGUCACACAUUUGAAUAUUAUGGAAAAGUUUGCAGUCCAAUAAAUUUAUGUUCUCUACAAUGAAAUGUUGAAACUUUGAGCAAGAUUCUAUAGCCUUCCCUUUCAUACAUUAUGCAUAUUUCCUUCUUUUACCUUUUUCUUUCUUUGUUUCUUUAGUUUUUUAUUUAUCGUUUUUUUUUUAAUAUUUAUUUAUAAGAAUUCAAUACAAUAAAGACAUUAUUUGGUCGAGUGCAAAAACCAAUUUUAUAAGCAACAAAUGUUUUAGACAGAUUAAGUAAAAAUCAUUUUAACUAACAAAAUGACAAUUUUUAAAUUACAUUGGGAUGAUAACAUUCAAUCUUAUAGAUGUCUGCUUAUUAUCUUUGCGUAAGGACGCAACUUCACGAGAUUCUAUAUUUAUAAAGAUCAUUUUAUGUACAAUAGAGAAUAUUAUUAAAUUUAAAGAGUGAAAUAAUUUAAUACUCCCAUAAUACUCAUUAUUUUGGGCAUUUAUUUUGCAUGUUAUUUAUGGUAAUUACCUAGGUGACAUACAUUAAUGCAUUAAAUAACAAACUACUGUAUGUAUAUUACAUAGGGCGACUACCUGUAAUCUUCACUAUGAAUAUCAUUAUUCUUUUGCUUUAUUCAAUAAACAAUUAGUGUUUCUUAGAUAAAGAUUUUUUAUUUUUUUAGUUUGCAAAUGUGGUAAAAAAAAAAAAAGUAGAAAAAAUAUUAAAAAUAAUUUUUUUUUAGAGAGAGAAUAUGUAGUUGAAAUGAGUGUGGAUAAAAAGUUAUUCUUAAAUAAUAAUAAUAAAAAAAAGGACUUAUUGAUUUCUCAUCUUUUAUAAGCCCAUGUUUGGUCCUCGUUAAAAUUACAAUUCAUUUUUCUCUUGCUUCUUAUUAACCACACAUUGUUCAAUAAAUAAUAUUUACACGUAAAUUAAAAAAAAUCUUUUUUUUAAUCACAUAUUCUUAAAAAUAUUUAAUAAUACUAUUUGAAAAUAUUUUUUUUUCAAAUUCUCAAUAUAAUGGGGACGGGGGACCAAACAAUUAAGGACUUACUUUGAAUAAUUUGAAAAUAUAUGUAACGUAUUAAAUGCAAUAUUUUGAUUUUUCAUUUAACAAAGAAAUUUGAUCUUGGUACUUAAGCACCUGUUUGUUGUUGCUAAAAAUUAUAGUUUAAUCAAAUUGAUGAAAUAUGUGAUUGAAAAUGUAUGAAUCCACACAAAAUUAUGACUUUGACUUAAAUUUUAAUCCACGCCAAACAGAGCAUAAGUGUAGUUGGACGACAAAUUUCAACUAACAAAGCACCAAAAAGUUGUAUAAAAUUGGUACAUGUCCCCUUCAUAUGACACAGACCUUCGAUCACAUUUUGAGCACCGACCAAUCAAUUGAGCAGCAAAUUUACCCCUAUUAUCUUAAUAGAGGUUUGCCUUGCAAUUUCAACAUUAUCCCUUGAAUUACUCAACCACUUCACUACGUAGAUCUAGUUGUGAAAGUUUCGUAGACGAUCAAAAUCAUACUUUUGUCCAAUUCCAAUAUUCUAUUUCAUUAACACACGUAUACUAACCAAAAGAAAGUUUUAAGUAAAACAAGUAGGGGAGCUAACACAUAUUAUUACCCUAAAAGAUAUCUGAGGCUAGAACUAUGAGAAAUUUAUAAAAAAUGUCAUGGAAGUUUUUCGCUUUUAAGAUGGCACGGAAGGUAUUUUGGGGCCACCAUGUUCGCAUCCCCGAACUCAUAAUCAAAGUGGUCUCGUGCAAUUUCAUUUGCGGCCAUGAGUUGUCCGUAGCCUCUACAAAAGUCCCUUUGAUUCUCUCUUUAUGAAAACAUGUUUGACAUCAUCUAGAAGUGCCGGCAAAAAGAGUAAAAAAUAGAAGAGGAUCAAAUACCAUCUAAUCUCAUUCAUAAAUGAUGUCGAUUAGCGAUCGACGAAUGUUGCUUAUAUGACUUCGCUGGCACUUUAUAAGAAAUUGAAAAGCCUUUUUAUUCCAAGGUAAAUAUGAUCGCAAGGCCAAAUUUUUAAAAAUUGAUUGAAAAAGGGCACCGAGAGUGGAGCGUGGAGCUUAAUCUGACUCAAUAGUCAAUGUAGAAAAAGUUUACUCAGUUCAAAUAUGUCAUCUAUUUUUUUUAUUUUUCAUUUUUUUCGUUAAUACAUGCAAAUGGGUCUUGGAACGAUAAAAAGUCAAUUAAGUUUUUCCUUUGUGUGCAUAUGAAAUUGAACAUGACACCCAAAUGUUUUAGGCUGGAAAAGAGGGAUCAUACGACAUGUUAUUAAAAAAAUGAGAGGACUAAAAUGAAAACCUAAAAAGCUUCCAAUUUCUUCCUUCCCCUCUCAAUUUUUUCAACAUUUCUCCUUCACAGCCCCUUAACUUUUCUAUCUGUCAAUUCUACCCCCCAAAAACUACAUGAAAAGGUCCAAGUGCAACAUAGUGUAGUAGUUGGCAGCUUCAUCUUCAAAUUCCCACAGCCCAUCACAGAAGGGUCGAUUUUCUUCUGAUUUGGUUUCUUUGUCGACUCUUUUGGGAAUUCCAAGCUCAUCAUCAGAGGCUUCGAGAAGACGUCUGAUCAUGACUCUAUCAUCCCCACCUUCCUCUUCAUGUUCUUUAGCACCAAUUACAACAGAGCACGCGGAGGUGUUGGUGGUUUGGUUAUGGUCCCGCCCAGCUUCCUCCACCGUGCACGAAGGAGAGGCAAAUGAAGAAGAGAGCUCUUGCUGUAGGGUUGUAAAAAUUGCUGAAAAGUCUUGGUUUGGCUCUUGUUCUUCUUCAUCAUCAAGAAUUGAGAGUAUACAGUUGUAUGAUUUGUGGUGCUUUGAGUUUGUGUCAUCAAAGGCAGAGGUUGCUGCUUCAUGUUCAUUGGAUUUUUCUCUCUGGCGCUUAAGUUGUGUUUCGGCCAUUAAAGAAGAAACUAAACAGAAAUAGAGAGUAAGAGUGUGAGUGUGAGUGUGAGUGUGAGUGUGAGAGAGGAGAGGAAAGGUUUAUAUAGAUGGAGGCGACAGGUAAAGAUCCAAUAAAAAUGAGUCCGGUGCAACACUUUGAAAAUCGUCAUGGCAAUUGGCAAACAAUUAUGCUAUUGGUAGAUGGCAAUAUUGACUGACUAUGUUGAUGUGUCAAAAAAUUGUUGGUUGAAAAAUCGAUAAUUUUCGAACUCUUCAAUGACAACAUUAGUUUGUCGAAGAAGUUUGUAAGAGAUGCAUGAAUGUUAUCGUUAGCGCAAAAAGAAUAAAAUAAAAUCAUUACAGCACUAAUCCAAUUCAAUUAUUUGACCAGCAAGUUGGUUUUCAACUUUUAUUAUUAUAGUUCGGCAAUCAAUUUUGAACGGCCACUAACAAAUUGAGUUAUGACGUAGUGGUUACAUAAUAGUUAGAAACUAAUAGACUAUCGUGACUGAGUUAGAAAGAGCCUUUUUUAUGAAAACUAAACCAUUUAUUGAGACUACGAGUGUUAUUUUAGUUUUUACAUAGGUAGGAUGUUUUUUCAAUUCAAAAAUAAGUAACUUCUAGCUUUUUCUAAAUAAAUCAUGUUGUAAUUUUAUGAAACUUUAGACUUUCUAAUAUUAGAAACUUUAAAAUUUGAAAACCUAAAUUUCUUUAUUGUCAAGAUUUUUCAUGUCAAAUCAUCAAGAAAAAUUAAUAAUGCGGAACAUACCUUAAUCCUUUGGGAAUAUUUCUCUAUUACUGGAUCUUGAAUUCGAAUCUCGAAUCUUGAAACUUGAAUUGCAAUCUCUUCAUCUUUGGCUAAUCUUGAAUUUUGCCUCCUUUGAUGAUUUUAUUUUUAUUCUUGAUUUUUCCUUUUGAUCCACAAUCUUGAUUCUUGAAUUCCUUCUUGAUUUUUUUUAUUGUGGCUAUUGAAUCUUCCUCUUCAAUGUAUUUUAUCUUGUAUUCUUGUGUUGAUAGAAUGACGAAAAGAAUGAGAAGUUGCUUAUGAAUUGAGGUCUAUAAUCCUAUAUAUAGUUUUUAUAUGUAUUUUACUUAUCAUGAAAUACAAUUCUAAAGGAAUUUGAUCUCUUCACAUAUAAUCCGACUCACAAUUUAUUUAAAUGCCCUAAACUCAACAAUUUAAUUCUUGAGGAAAAUACAUAGUUCCAACUAAUACAAUUCACAGUCCAAAGUUUGUAUAUGCAAAAUUAAGAUAUUGAUCUACUAAUUACACCCACCCAAACCCUAAAAAUCUUACCUAAUUCAACAUACCCCUCAACCACCACCACCGUCUUCCUCACUUUCACACGUACAACCCACCAUUCCUUCUCACUCACUCUCAUACGCACAACCCACAACCGAACAAUUUGACGGGGUCUAUGGGCCGAUCCAACAGAGCAACGAUGAUGGUGUCACUGCAACUCUCAUCUUUCCUAAAAGUGACAAUUGACUUCUCCAAGUGUUGUUGCGCACAAUACAAAGGCGGAGUCGAUGGGUCGACUGCCACGCGUAGCGGUGAUGGUAUUGUUGGAAAAAAUAAGUAAAUGACUUAAUUUUGGCAAAAUUUUCGGUGGGACCCAUUGGUCCAAUUUGAAAGAUAAAAGUUGAUCAUUGUUCUCUUCCGUGAGAGUAUCGAAACCAUAUAUUUAUUUGUCAAAAUUAAUGAAUUGAUGAAUGAGAAAUUGGAGCUCAAAGAUGACCAUUAGAAGAUAGUUUAUGUGGGAAAAUAAAACUAGUCCCACGUAGGAAAAUGAAGAAAGUAUUAACCACUUUAUAUAGGAUUGCACAUUGGAAUGGUGUAAUUACGUGUAGCAUAAAUGCUCUCUCCACGUGCGCGCGUAGGGGGUGCAAAUAACGGAUUGAAAUUGCCUUUGGACCUUAAACUUUGUGCGGGCGUGACCUGCGUACACGUAUGUUAGACCGAACAGAGCAAAAAAUUAGCCCUUUUAGAGUGUCCAUGUUAUGCAAUUUUUUGUUUUCUUUAACUGACCUUUGAGUUUUCGAAAAUUGCCAAAACUCCAAAAAAUUAAAGCAACUCUAGUGUUUAUUGCUAUGAAGUUAAUAGGCAAAUUUAAACUCACAUAAAAGGUCAUUUUUCCAGCAGUUCUAACACAUACGAAAACACACACUAAAGGAGGAGAAAAACAUUCUGCAAUUUUUUUCUGUCUGCAUCUCGAUUUAUGUUCAACGUCGUCACUGUGGUGAUUUUGUUCAGAUACUAGUCAGUUCGCUGGAGUAGUAUCUGUGGUACUCAAAUUCUACGGGUUUUAUCGUUGUAUCCUGAAAAACAGACGCUCGGAUUAAACCUCAUGCACUUAUGGUGAGAGGGCGAAUCUAUUUUAAGGAAAUUAUGUUCGCACAGGCCUCGGGAUGAAAAUUAAUCCACCAUUUAUUUAUUUUGCGAUUAUACCUUUGCAAUUUAUUCUUGUAGAUUUAAUUAGUUAGCUUAAUUUGUCAUUUUAUUAUGUUAUCGCUCUAUUUAUGUUUAUCAAAAUUAAUCUGCGUUAAUUUCUAUUUAUGUUAAAAAUAAAAAUUUGAGAAAAGAUUAUAUUCCAUAAUUUUGGUAUUUUUAUGUGUAAAUGAAAAUACGGUAUAUAUGAAAAGGGUAAAAAAAAUAUGUGCAAAUAUGGUUAAAAGCAUAUACGGUAUGCAGCAUAUAUGGUAGGAAGUAAAUACGGUAGGUAGCAUAUACGUUAAGUUGCAAAUACGGUAAGCUGUCUAUAAAUACGGUAUAUUGCAUAUACGGUAUGCUUAAAAUCAAUAUAUAAACUACAUAUACGGUAUGCGAUAAUCCGGUUUCAUUAACACCACUAUAUUCCACCAGGUUUUACCGCUGUGCAGCAAUUCCUCCACUUGAUCGGUGAAACAGCGACGAGAAAUUCCUCCAGUUGAUCAGCAAAGCAACGGCGAUUGUGCAAGUGGUUUGCAAAUUGUGGUGGUGUGUAGGUUGUUGGUUGUUUUCUUUUUCUAUUGGUGGUUUUUUUUGAUCCGUGGGUGGUUGUUGGUCGACGGUGAUGAUAGUGAUUGUGCAAGUGACGGUGGUUGUGCAAGUGGUUUGCAAAUUGUGGUGGUGUUUGUAGUUGGGCGGUGGUCGAUGGCAAGGCAGGGGUGAUGUUAGCGGUGCUUGGGCGUGGUGUUUAACAGCGACAAUGCUAGUGUUGGUGGUUGACGACAAUGGUGAUGGUGUUGUGUUGAUGAUCUUGUUGGUAGUUAUAGUGGUGGCAGGGGCGAUGGUCGGAUGGGGAUGAAGAUUAUUUGUAACCUACUAUCUGGGUGUUUGUAACCAACUACAUAGUUGAUUUGUGACCAAGUAUUGAUAGUGGAUUGGGAUUGAGGGUGAAGUAAAAUAUUUGAUGUAUGUGACUAACUAUUUGAUUAUUUGUGACCAAUUUUUUAACUGUGACAUAAAAUUUCAAUAAUUCGUGACUGAAAAAUAAUUUGUAACCAACUAUUUUGAAAAUUUGUGAUCCUUAAAUGAGUUAUGACCUUUAAAAAUUAUUAUUUGUCAUCAAUAAAUAAAUUGUGACCUUAAUAUUUUUAAUUUGUGAUAGAAAAAUAAUUGUGAUCAAUUAAUUUGAUAAUAUAUGAUCAAUAAAUAAGUUGUGAUCCAUAAGUAUGUAACUGUGACCAUUAAUUGUAUAACUGUGACAUUAAUAAUUUAAUUAAUAAAAUAUAUUUUAUUAUUUAGUUAUCAUCUGAGAUUUAAAAAUUUUAACUUAUUGUUUGAAUUUUGAAUUUGCCAAUAUUUUACACUAGAGAUAUGAAUUUUUCCCUUAAUUCUUUAUUAAAUCAUUCUAAUUUUGAGUUUAAUUUAAAUUAUACACAAUUAAUUAUAUACGUAGGUCACAUGACAAAUUAAAAAUUUUCCCAACAAAUCCAUCAACCCACUACUUCGAAUGUCUUUUGUCCUCUCGCGAGUCACGAGGCUUUAUUAAUUAAUUUGAAUAUCAUAGCAAUGCACCUUUUAUCUUUUUUACUUAAUAAUAUUCUUCUUCACAUAUGUUUAAGAAUAAAAUCUAUUUUAGGAUAAAUCUAUUUCACUUACUCGCAAGUUGAUUUUUUCGAAAAACACAUUUUUAAUUUUUUAAAAAUAUAUUGUGUUUCUAUCUAGUUUAUGCUUUUGUUUUUUAUGUUGUACGAAUUUUAAAUGUCUCGGUAAAGUCUAAUAAAAGAGCUUUUUUUAACUAUAAGUAAAAUAAGACAUAAAUUUGAUUACUUAACAAAGUUAUAUGACGUUGAAAUGUAUUGAGAAGCGAAAUAAUUUGAUUUGAGCAGAAAAAAUUUUAUUCUCACGAACGAAAGGCCGCCUUAAUUUCAAGUAAUAUGAAGAUAGUAGUAUGAUAUAAUGCAUCUAUUAAAUCGAUUACUCUUGAGAGUAGCCAAUGAUAUUACAAAGAAAGGUUGUAUCUACAUAUUCAAAACUUAUUUUUAUUGAAAGAACAAGCUAGUAAUUAGAUGAUAUUAAUCGUCCUAGGGGGAUUUAUUUCAUUUACGGAAAAAACAAUCUUAGUCCAUGUAUGGUUUAGCUAGAAAAAUUGAAUUAAAAUAUAAAUUAAAGUCAAUCAUUAAUUUUAAAAAUAUAUUUUAUUGAAUUCACAACUUUUAAAUUAUAUAUUCCAUCAACUUUCAAGAAAUUUUUAUUUAAAUCAAAGAGUGACUUAAUAACAUACGAUAAAAAGUUGUACAAACAUGACAAGGUGAUAAUGACAAAGAUAUGAUAUAGCAUAGGCCAAUAUGCGAUGCCAUGCACAUGGUGAGUGGACCUAAUUUCCAUUCAUUAGUGCCCACAAGAAAAGGAAUAUUGUACAAUUUUUUUGGGUUCUAGGGGUGACAACUAUCGACUGCUAUCAACAAGUAUUAUUGGCCUAAUAAUUUUGUUGCCAACAAUAUGAUUAGGUUUACAAAAAAUAAAGUUGAUUUAAAUUCAUUUAUAGACAACGCAUGAAAAUUAGCUACAAGUUUUCCAUUAUGCUUUUUUGUUUCAAUUAUUAGGCAAAGGGAACAGUUCAUAUGCUAUGUUUGUGUGGCCUUUAGCCACUAUAUAUGAAAGCAUCUAUCAUGAGUGGGGGAGACAAGGAGGGAGAGGGGUAAGUCGUCAAUUUUUGUUGAUUAUGAUGUGUUCGAUGUUUUAGAGUGGACAUGUAUCGUUGAGCAUUCUUGAAUUCUAGAAGAAUCGUUAAGAAUUGUAAACAAACAAGACACGUUCGACCUGUAUGUGCCAAACAUAUAGCUAAAGUUUCAUCUAAGCAAUUUAGGAACCAUAAACAACAUUAGAUAUUGGAGGAGACAAGUUCCAUAUUUUACAUCAAUUGGUUACCUCCAUUCCAUUCAUCUCGAAUCAGCAGUGCCAUAUUUGACUUGAUGAAUAUUAAUUUUGAAAACCUCCCUAAAAACCGAAGAGAAUGAGAUGAAAAUUGUUCUAUUGAAAGACAAAAAAGAGGGUGAGUCGUGAUACCUCCAUGAGCUUGAACGGUUUCUUGCUUGUGGAGGAUAGAACAACAUUGAGUUUUCAAUAUAUUGUAUGAAUUUUUUUGAGUUACAUUUCUUCAUUAUUUGUAGUUAGUUAUGUAAGUCCAUCGUUACGUAGUGCAUCCAUCUCAAUCUAUUUAUUUAUUUUUCUUGCAUUGAGUGUCAAUGAUAAGUUGGGAAGGAAAAAAAAAAAAAGGUCAUAAGAAUCAAUACUUGAAUCUCCCUGAGAACAAAUUUGCAUAGUUAAGUGAAUGGACACUCUUAACAAAAGAUUUUAAAAUCAUUCGACUUUACAUGAUGCUCUUGGGGAAGAUAUUCUUAAUGAGAUUUGCUUUUCUUUAGAAAUGAUUACUAAUUUGCUAUGGUUUUCUUGUGGUCAAGUUGAUAGAAAAAGUGUGCAUGAUGAGAAUAGUCGUAGAAAUUGAUUAAUUUAUGAAGAUUAUUGGAGAAGGAUGUCAUUUUCAUAAAUAUAAUAGAUGUCCAUGAUAACUCGUGAAUCGCAGUCGUAUUUUAAAGAAUUAAUUAAGUCAAAAUUUAGAAUGAAGAAUUUUGACUUCAACAUACAAGAUGAAAUAACAUUCUACUGUUGAUAAUGUAAAACGACUAAAGUCAUUCUCUAAGUUUAGUCCUUAUUUGGUUUAAUCAAAGAAAUUGAUAAAAAUUUAAGUCAAAAUUAACAAUUAAUUUAAUCACGCAGUUCUUAAAAUUCUCAAGUUUUAUAACUUUUCAAUUGCACAUUUCAUCUUCUUUUUUUUUUUCAAAAUCUAUUAAAAUUUUAAUUUUUAACUAAACCAAAUAGAAAUUAAAUAUACUCAUUAACGAAGUUUAGAGCUAUUUUUGUUACGUCCCUCUUUUCCUUACCUUAUCUUUCCUUUCCUUUCCCUUCCUUCUACUUAUCAAAACAUAAAAAUUAGGAUUCAUUUACUCUCCCCUCAAUUUAAAAGAACAAUGCAGUAAUACCCUUUAAAAGUAAUUACUUUUUUGAUAAAUGUUUUAAUAGUUUUUCAUGAAAGUUGAUGAAAUGCAUAACUGAAAGGUUGAUAAAAAUUAUAAAUCUCAUUAAAUAUAUAACAAAAAUUAAUUAUCGAUUUUAACCUUAAUUUUUUUAACUUUUCCAAUAACACCAGUUCACUAACAAGCCACAGAUAGACAAAUCAUCUAUGAGAACAUGUUAUAUUUGACAAAAACAAGACAAAUGGCGACAUAUUCGAUCUAAAAUGUUUGAAGUCAUGCUCACGUUACAAUCACGAAAAAAUACAUUUGAGCAACAAAGUGCAUCACAGUGUCCAUUCAAACAUAGAAAAAACGUGCUCCAAAUCAAGAAUCGAGCAAUUAAUUCUUCAAAAUCUGACUUCCCUUUCAUGGAAAUCAGAAACUGCAAUCGGUUUGUGUCCAUUGUACUAGUACUACCAAAUAAGCUAAGAUUUAUCCCAUGUUUUAGAACGCAAAGAAGAAUAAUGAAUCUAGCUAAAAAUGCCUACCAACGAUACAAACAAAUGAGUACCACAGUUAAGAAACCUCGACCGGACCAGGAAACUGGUGAACAAGACUCGUAUACCCUUUUUUUCUUUUUUCCUUUUUUUUUUUUAUAACCAUGGGUGUCCGGACCAGCUUACGUGCACCUCGACUAAUCCCUCCGAACCCUAAAGUUUACAGCGGUGUACUCACUUCAGUGGCCCUGAAAAGACUCGAAUUGAUGACCAUUAGGGAGUAAACCCAAUGUCUGAUCAUUGAGCUACUUCUCAGAGUUGAGACUUGAAUAUUUUACUACCACAUAAUUAUCAAAUAGCAAGGAGAAGAUUCGCACCACCAUUACCGCCACUAACCAACACAUCACCUCUCAUGCCCAUCAAUCAACCCCAUUCCCUCUAACCACCAACAUCCAUCUCCAUCUCCACCUCUACCUCCACCAACAUCCCCUCACCGCUGCCAACACCAUAAAUCUUAAAAACACAAAGUUAUUAGAAAAUGUUCAACACAAGUAAAAUGAAGAUAACAUAGCAUUAUGGACACUAUCAAAAUCAACAGUAUACAGAUAAUUUGUAAUUCAAAACUAAAGAAAAUUUUCCUCACUUUUGAAACAAGUUAUUCUAUCAAUAAAACAGGUUCAGAUAUCAAAAUUAAGAGAAUUAGUUUGAACUUUCCAUUUUAUAUAUCGAAGAGAGAACUUCACCAAAAACAUAGUUUACAUCAUUCAAAGGGUCAAAUAAUAGCGAUUCAAUGACUUGACGUAUUUAAGAACCAGAAUAAAACGUUAUAGAAAUAUGCAAGAACAUCCAUUCAAACUAGCCAAAGAAAAGCAUAAACUUCGGGAUAAAAGAGAACAGGAAGCUGCUAUAAAGCUGCAAAGAGUAACCGAAGAAAAAAGAUCACUUUAUAGCCGAUGCUCCCAGUAAACAUGUUCAUGCCUUAUUGUUUUCCCCUUCAUACAAUUCCAAGAACUUGAAAAAUCGAAUCACUGAAUUCUAUGAGAUAACCUUCAUAAGACACCAACGAAAACCUAUAAAUGUAUUCCUCCUAGAAGUUAUUCGAACAUUUUUCUGCGCAAAGGUCAACUUUGAUAUUUUCUCAUGUUACUUCAAAGGGAGAAGGCAAUUUACAGGAAGAAAAUUUAGAUUUAGUUUUAAAAAGAUGUACCCAAGACUACCUCAAAGAGAACAAUCAAUCGAAUCUUGAGUAAAAUAUAAUCCUUCUGAUCCUCCUCCAAGUGAAAGGGAAAAAAGUUGAAAAUGCAAACUUGCAAGAAAUUACCCAUUAGUAGUAAUCAGGUGCAUCUGGGAUCCAAUCCAUCGGAGAGCGAGGCACUCAAUUUGAAUGGUACAGACUGCACCGAAACACAAAUGAUCAGCAUCCCAUCACAGCACAAUUGUAAACAAAACUGCCAGAUUGUUUUCGGCCGAGCAAAACCCAUUGCGGCGGACCUUCAAUUGGAACCCAUGCAUUGACUUCGAUAUAUCCCUGACCAACAGUCCGAGGCCCUCCAAUUACAAUAAGCCUAUCGCCACAUGCCCUAAACGCCAAACCCCAACCAUUCGUAGAAUCAGCUCGUUCUGGCAAUCUUCCUACGGUAAUCCACACUUUAUUAUUCUUGUCAUACUUUCUCAGUGCCAUGUCAGCAUAAUCAGCAGCAUAUAAUUCAUUAUUUACAACAGCAAUCAACGGAGGUGCUUCGGACGUAGCAGGUCGAUCGAAUUCCCUGGCCACAUCAGUCCGCACUGGGGACAUGUUAGGUAUUUCAGUCCAAGUCUCGGUUUCCAGAUUAUAUUCCUCUCCACAUGUGAGAAGCUUCGACUCUGUUCCUCCAAUUCCUCCAAUCACAUAAAACUUUCCAUCCAUGAACACCCCAGAACACAUCUUCCUCGGUUUCUUCAUGCUUGGAAGUGUCUUCCAAAUUCCCAAUUCAGAAUUAUAGAGCUCUGCGGAACCCUAAAGUUUACAGCGGUGUACUCACUUCAGUGGUCCUGAAAAGACUCGAAUUGAUGACCAUUGGGGAGUAAACCCAAUGUCUGAUCAUUGAGCUACUUCUCAGAGUUGAGACUUGAAUAUUUUACUACCACAUAAUUAUCAAAUAGCUAUCUUAAAAACACAAAGUUAUUAGAAAAUGUUCAACACAAGUAAAAUGAAGAUAACAUAGCAUUAUGGACACUGUCAAAAUCAACAGUAUACAGAUAAUUUGUAAUUCAAAACUAAAGAAAAUUUUCCUCACUUUUGAAACAAGUUAUUCUAUCAAUAAAACAGGUUCAGAUAUCAAAAUUAAGAGAAUUAGUUUGAACUUUCCAUUUUAUAUAUCGAAGAGAGAACUUCACCAAAAACAUGGUUUACAUCAUUCAAAGGGUCAAAUAAUAGCGAUUCAAUGACUGGAGUCACUUGACGUAUUUAAGAACCAGAAUAAAACGUUAUAGAAAUAUGCAAGAACAUCCAUUCAAACUAGCCAAAGAAAAGCAUAAACUUCGGGAUAAAAGAGAACAGGAAGCUGCUAUAAAGCUGCAAAGAGUAACCGAAGAAAAAAGAUCACUUUAUAGCCGAUGCUCCCAGUAAACAUGUUCAUGCCUUAUUGUUUUCCCCUUCAUACAAUUCCAAGAACUUGAAAAAUCGAAUCACUGAAUUCUAUGAGAUAACCUUCAUAAGACACCAACGAAAACCUAUAAAUGUAUUCCUCCUAGAAGUUAUUCGAACAUUUUUCUGCGCAAAGGUCAACUUUGAUAUUUUCUCAUGUUACUUCAAAGGGAGAAGGCAAUUUACAGGAAGAAAAUUUAGAUUUAGUUUUAAAAAGAUGUACCCAAGACUACCUCAAAGAGAACAAUCAAUCGAAUCUUGAGUAAAAUAUAAUCCUUCUGAUCCUCCUCCAAGUGAAAGGGAAAAAAGUUGAAAAUGCAAACUUGCAAGAAAUUACCCAUUAGUAGUAAUCAGGUGCAUCUGGGAUCCAAUCCAUCGGAGAGCGAGGCACUCAAUUUGAAUGGUACAGACUGCACCGAAACACAAAUGAUCAGCAUCCCAUCACAGCACAAUUGUAAACAAAACUGCCAGAUUGUUUUCGGCCGAGCAAGACCCAUUGCGGCGGACCUUCAAUUGGAACCCAUGCAUUGACUUCGAUAUAUCCCUGACCAACAGUCCGAGGCCCUCCAAUUACAAUAAGCCUAUCGCCACAUGCCCUAAACGCCAAACCCCAACCAUUCGUAGAAUCAGCUCGUUCUGGCAAUCUUCCUACGGUAAUCCACACUUUAUUAUUCUUGUCAUACUUUCUCAGUGCCAUGUCAGCAUAAUCAGCAGCAUAUAAUUCAUUAUUUACAACAGCAAUCAACGGAGGUGCUUCGGACGUAGCAGGUCGAUCGAAUUCCCUGGCCACAUCAGUCCGCACUGGGGACAUGUUAGGUAUUUCAGUCCAAGUCUCGGUUUCCAGAUUAUAUUCCUCUCCACAUGUGAGAAGCUUCGACUCUGUUCCUCCAAUUCCUCCAAUCACAUAAAACUUUCCAUCCAUGAACACCCCAGAACACAUCUUCCUCGGUUUCUUCAUGCUUGGA
rnacentral:lncRNA from 1 species